ACGAACAGGGAAGCUGAGAGGCAACAAGCCAGUGUGGGAGUUUGUAGCCCACACAUCUUGAUAAGGGUAGAGAAUUUAGCUACUCAGCAAGUCAUUGAAAGGCACUUGCAAGGACAGGACGGGUUCUAGUUAGAGAGCAGCAGGUUGAAAUACAAGAUCUGAGAAGUUGAAUAAUGAAUGCUAGGUGUGGCAAAGUCCAGAAGUAUGUAAAUGAAGCAGGUGGACAUAAAGUCUGACCAAACCAAUAAGGCGAAGGUUUGCAAUGGCCAUCAGAGAAGACAUGGAAAGACUCAGAAUCAUGGCUUGAAUGGAGUGGUGAGGAGAGUCAAACAUGGGGAGAUGAAUAGAAGUGAAGAAGGAGCAGAGGAAUGGCACACAGAGGUGACUGCAGGCAGAUGGAACAGCAAGGCAAGGUCACGGGCGCCCAGAGGAACAUGGCAGGUCUUAGAACUAUGAGUGCAAGCGUACCUGGGGGCACAGGGCAGAGGAAGAGACGGCCUGGGAGAGAAGGAGACUGCAGAGACGGGGACUUCCACUGUAUCACAGAGGAACUUGUGAAACUAUAUUUCUCAACAGUAAGUAAACAAAUAGCUAGAUGUUCACAAGCAUGUGUCCAGCCUUUGUGAUUUAUGUAGCAGGUUGUAUACCAGCAGGGAAGUGAAAUGGUACUGUUAUCAUAUCUGAUUUGAAAAAGUUAUUCUUCAUCUUCAGAAAACUUCUAGAAUGAGAGACUUGAUGAAGAGGUGACUUUAAAAUGAAUAAAGAUAUUUGCAGCAAGGGGAAAAAAAACGAGAAGACUGCCGGAGGAGACAGAGUUGGUCCAUAAUUAAUAUGAACAUCAAUCUUUUUGAAACGUUAGGAGGAAAGCCUAUUCUUGCUGAAAUAAUUUGAUUCACUGCCUCUUAAAAUAGCACAGGAGGGAAGAGAAAGGGGCAUUGGCAAGAAGAGGAGUGUGAAAACAAGAGUGCUUGCUGUCUUCCCAUGUUUCCUUUGGUGCACAAAGUCCUAGGAGGGGAGAUCCUGUCUAUGUUACAUAUAGGGUCAGUCUGCUCCUGGCCCCAUCCCCUGGGAGAAGCUGUCACUCACUCGUUGUUAUGGUUUAGAUAUGAAGUGUCUCCCAAAAGCUCAUGUGCAAGACAAUACAAGAAAGUUAGAGGUACAAUGGUCAGGUGAUGAGAGCCUUAGCCUAAUCAGUGCAUUGAUCCUCUGAUAAGAAUUAAGGGUAACGGGUGGUAAAUGUAGGUAGGUGGGGAGUGGCUGGAGGACCUGGGUCACUGGGGGCAUUCCUUUGGCUUAUGUUUGUCCCUGGUGAGCAAGAGCUUUCUGUUUCCUGGUUGUCAUGUCCUGAGCUGUUCUCCUCCUCUACACCCUGAGUAGCAGAACUGGCCGCCAUCUAUACACUGAGACCUCUGAAACCAUGAACACCCAGUAAACUUUUCCUCCUCUGAGUUGUUCUUUUCAGAUCUUUUGGUAACAGUGGCCAAAAAGGUGACUAAAACACUGGUUCAAGCAGUAACGAUAGCUCUGGGAAACAGGUGUUCCUUGGUCGAUGUUUAUUUCAAAUGAAGUUCUGUUCCACUGGUAUUUUAACCCAAAGAACCAUCUUCAUGAUGCAAUCUAGCAACAUUCCAGACAAAUGGUGACAAUAUGUAUCACAUAACAUCAAUUUGGCAUAUUGCACAAUAUAGCAUUAUAAUUAUCUUUUAUUGAAAGGCUUUGGGAUAGGAAUAUGCUAUAUAUGUAUCAUUCCUGCCCAUCCUUAUACCAGCCCUAUGAGGUAGACAUACCCCGCAUUUUGGAGAGAGGGAAAUAGAGACCCAAAGAGGGUGUCAAUAUUUUAGAGGUAAGUGGGAUCUUUGUGGCUGUGCAUCCUGUGAUCUUGUCACAUGUCACACUAUCUUCUGAGCAUCAGCAUCUCUAGUCAAUGGCACUUCCUUAGAGAGGGUCUACAGAUGACAUGACAAAUUACACCCUGUUGCAGCUCACAGCUAUGCUCUUUCCACCUCAGUGGCUCUGUGAUCAGAGAUCAAACUUGAGACCCCAGGCUAGUACAAUAAAUCCAUGCCAUCCUUUACAACCAUACCUGAAAGCUAAGCUCUGUCAGGAAGUGACUCAAGGCAAAGUGGUGAUUUUUGCCCUUCCCAAUACUGGAGAAAGACAAUAUGCCUAGUGAUUCUCUUCAUUCAUUCAUUCAUGCAUUCAUUCAUUCAACAUGCAUUUAGCAAGCACCAUCUAUGGGCUCUACUAUGGUGGACAUCCAAAAUAUACAGAACAUUAAAAAGGUGUCUGGGCCCUCAGUGUGUUCACAGGUGAGGGAAGGCAAAGCCAGCCAUGAGGAUAUGCUAUUGCAAAGCAGUGUGGCAGAGCAAGGAUAUUGUCAUGCAAACUCUAAGGAAGUGUGCAGAGUGAGAGAAACAGAGAGGAGCAAGUGUGUCAUAGUUGGGCCGAUGGGUCUGGCGGAAUACCCCUGUUCUCACAUUCACUGACUGUUCACUGUUUCGGCAGAAGCGAUGUACAUCAGCUCUAUGCAGGCCUCAGUCAGGUUGGUCCAGGAGCAAAGGAAAGAUCAAAGACUCACCUUCCAAAAUCAUCUAAUUUUACAUUAAAAUUUUUUCUAUUGAAAUUCUAGCUAUACUAAAAUAAGAACAGAAUAUACUUGUUAUUGCUGAUUUCUCAAACUCAGUCCUCUCUUUCCAGAUUUCUGAAGAUACCUUUAUUUUGAAUACAAAAAUUAGGAGUUGUACUCCCUGCACACAACAGAAGUUCUGGAAAAUAUAGGUAAGGUAUUCUGUUUCCUUUUUUCUUUAUAAAAAUAUAGUCUGGCAGCAAGCUCUGGUGAGAUUGUUUUGGAUGUUCACAAAAUUCCCUGGGUUCUCUUUCUGUCCUUACAGAGUAUGUUAAGAGAACUACUGAUGUUCCAGAUGGAACUUGUGUGGCCUAGGCAGCAAAAAGAGACAAGCAAAGAAAAAGUGACUGCCCCAGGGGUGGGCAGCAGAAAGAGGGCUGCACCAGCCCCGUCUGACUCCUUGUAAAGCAGCUUCUGUGGAAGACCACACAAUAGUUUCUAUUUAUGUUUCAAAGACAACUAGUGUGUCAUAAACUCAUCUAAAUGGACUCCCACCUGUGAGGUUCUAGAAUAAAAAAAACAAUUGAAUAACCAGUACCGCAGGUGCAAAUAUUACUCUCAUACAAUCACCAACAUUUAUUUUUAGAAAAUUGCAUUGCUUUGGUGUUUUAGGGAAACAUUUAUAAAUCACUAUGUUAAUAAAUUCUAAUAUAACCAGAAGAAAAACAGCUAGUGUGUUCAGCUCCACUAACACUAACACAGAGAUGUUUAUGGCUCCAAAACCAAAAAGACCUGCAGACAGACAGGAAGGAAAUUAAGGUAUUGCUGAUUCAUUUGUACCAACUGAUUCAAUUUAUGAAUUUACAUUCAUUAUAUUAUUCUGCUUAAUAACUUUAUGUUGACAUGUAUAAGCACUGGUUCCUAAACUAUGUAUCUUUCUCUUAAGAAAAAUGCAAAGGGUGGAAAGGAAAGAGGCUUAUAUUUUUGUGCUUUGAUUCACUAAGCAUUAGAGAAAGAAAGAAAAUACAGCAUGAAGCAAAAACGUAAUCUGAUUUGAAGUUGGUAUUCUCUGCCUAGCAAUUCCAACUAGCAAAGCAAUCUACUGACUCAAAAUAGUACCCUUCUUAAAGAGGAAACUGGAAUUUGUGUACAUGUGGGUAUUUAUGUAUGUAUUAUGUAUCUACAUAUGUAUCUAUAUAUGUAUAUAUAUGUAUAGUAUAUUCAUUUAAAAUAUAGGCAUAUGUUAUGCACAGGUGUCUUGAACAUCUCAUUUAACAUCUCAAACAUGUAUUUCCUUCUAAAAUAGGUGCUUGUAUUUUAGGUGGCUUUAUUUGUUUGCUUUACUUUUGCUAAAGAACACUACCCACUCCUUGAGGCAAAUCCUUCCAUCAGGAGGAGACUGCUCAGUAUUUUAUGUAGGGGAAACCUCGAAAUGUUUAUCAUCACAGGAAUGAAUUAGUUCAUCAAACUAUUUCCAUUGAAAAUAUUUGAUCAACUUAGUCUCAUACAAUCAUUUUAAUCUCAGUCAUUCUAAUAUUUGAAUUUAGUAAUUGCUGAGUCUACUAUAUUUUAUAAAAGUACCAUUGAACAUAUUAUAGCAAAUUAAAUAUUUUUCUAAUUGAAUAGCUAUUUUGUCAAUUUGUAUCUAUUUAUCAGCUAUAAUACAUGAUAAGACAUUAACUUAUAUAUGUUAUAUAAAACUGACCGCAGAGGUCCCCAAGCUUCAGCGGGAGCACACAUUUGUAUUCUCAAUGCUUGCAACAGUUGGUGGGCAAUUAUAAUCUCAUGUAGUAAGUUUUGCAACAGAAGCAAACGAUCUGAACCUUGAUUUUCUGAAAUAUAAUUUGAGUAGGGAAGGUUGAGGGGAAAUAUUUAGACAUGGCCAAACUCAACAUCUUGGUUCCACAAAAGUGAGUAAACACACACACACAUACACACACACACACACACACUUUCACUUGGGCCUGCUACUCUAACACAACUGAAGUGGAUGAUGAUGAUUAUUUUUCCUAAACUAAUUACUUUUUGGAGUUCCUUAGUGGAAUAGGUAUGAGAGUUACACUCAGUCUUUUAAAAGGGCUUUGGAUUCUUCUCAGCUCUUCAAAAAAUAUGUUUACACAAUUGUUUUGAAUAAAUAUUAAAUCAAUGUACUAUGCUAGUUUCUAAGAGAUGAAAACUAAAAAUCAUUUAAGUGCAAAUAUUUUAUUCUUCUGACUUUGGAAGAGUAACCAGGUCUUUUUUAAAGCUGAUAUGCAGCAUGGAGUAUGUGUGAGUGAGCAUAUGUACCUGAACAUGCAUACCUGUGGUAGGGGUUGUGGGGAGGAGGAGGUUUAUAUUUCCUGUUAUUUUUUUUUUAAAUCCCUUUAAAAAUGUGGUAUACUUGCAGAAGCUAUUGAUGUUUCUUGCACCUCUCAUUUUAAAAGAAUGUAGAGCUCCUGCUUCCUGAAAAAGAAAAAGUUCUAGGAAUGCUUUCUAACAUCUUUGAAGAUGCUUCAAUCUGGCCACUGGAUUAGUUUUUAUUUGAGGGAGGCAGUACCUGCUGUGGACGCCUACAAGGCUGGACAGAUGGAGAGGAGCAGACGUAGACUGGGUGAUUUGGACAUGGUGCCUCGCUGUUAAAAUGAGCCCUUCACACUUCUGUGAUCAGGGUACUGUGAGAAUGCAAAGUCAGUAUAUGUGAAGUGCGCACCCCAGUGAGUGUCCUGAAAGUACAAGCAACCACUAUCAUUUAGUCAUUGAAAAAUACCUUGUUAGUUAUCCCUCUUUCAUUAAUUGACUUUGUUUAAUUAAAAUCAACUGAAGUAUAAGAAAAGAAGCAAACUUCUAGUAUGAAAAGGAAAUGACCAUUGCAACAGGCCCCAUCCAUUUCCACAAUGUUAUUUACAAAUAUUCCUUAAAAUUUCAAGUAAUUUUUUUUCUUACCCAGGGUGUAAUUCAGAAAGUAAUGAAUAUUAAAUAGAUAUAACUGACAAAAUAUUAGCUGGAUAAGUUAGGUCUAAAUAAGUUGGACAAAUAUUUUCAAAAUAUUCCUUUUAUUCCUUGAUAAAGAAAUAUUUUGAGUUUCUCUAAUUGAAACAUUUUGAAAAGUAUGUUUCCUGUCAAGCUGUCUAAAACAUAUCUUUUUCUUUCUACUAUCUCUUUGCAGUGGAAAAAAGAGAGAACAUUCAUGAAUAGAACUAAUGAGACUAAAGUACAAGAAUUUGUAAAAGUGUGAAUUCCACUUGGAAGUUAUAAAAGAAGACUUGUAUAAAUUAAUAAAUAUACCAUGUUUCUAAAAGAAAGAUAAAUAUCAUAAAGGUAUCAGUUCUCCAUAGUAAUAUAUCAAGUCAAAAUGCCAAUAGUAUUUUUCUUAUUAGUCACCUAAAAAGUUGUAAAAUCCAUCUAAAAUAAAUAUUUUUAAAAAAUGAGAAGCAACUCAUCCUAAAAUACGUUAGUGUGUAGUACAAAGUUGAAAUGGUUUCAACAGAGGAGCAGUUCAUAGAUCUUGGUGGAAGAGGGUGAUAUUCUAACACUAGAUCAUUUCCUUGACUAAGACUUUCUAUGCAUUUAACCUGGCACCACAAAUCAUAAAAAUACUUUGAUUUAUCAAAAUAUUCCUACUAACUGAGUAACAACAGGGAUUUAGGUCAAUUUAGAUUCAGGUGACACCAUUUACCCAUAUAAAUAAAGCCUUCAUGAACUACACCGUGAAAAUGUAGAAAGAAUUAUGGGUAUAUCAGAAAGUAUAACAAAAGAAAACAGUAUAAAUAAAACAAAAACUUUCAGAAGAAAGAGAAAAUGACAAUUUCUAAACCUGACUUAUAAUUUGAACCCUGUGUGGACUCGGCUGUCUCCAACCCUCCCUUUGUGGGACCUGCUCCUUCACAGUUUUCCUCUUGUCCAAGAAGAUGUAUCCUUCAUCCUGGUUAUUCUAUUCCUCUGUACAUCUCCUAAUUUGAUAUCCCAGGUUCUCAGCACAAAUCCAGGAAAGGGAACAAUAAGAAAAUGAUAGCCUUUAUUCGGGGAGCCUGUUGCUUUUUUCACAACUACUUCCUAGACCAAGCAAGGUGUUUGUAGCUAUAGGUCCUCAGUUCUAUUCAUUGAAUAAACAAAUACUCGGGGGAGAAGAAGGAUGGCAGUGGCCAUCAGUGGAGUUGGAAAAGGCAACAGCAGGGAAAAAAAUGAUUGAAAACUCACUCAGUUGCAAUUUGCAGAUGAAGAAACCGGAGAUCAGAAUAAUGAAAUAAGUCCUUGAGACCACAUAGCUUACUAAUGCAAAGGACUAAAUGAAUGGAAGUUAGUUUUUCCACUUGACACUUUUCUGAAUAUGCCAGAAAACCCAAUACACAACUAAGGUUACAACUACAGAUCUGAUCAUUCAAAAAAAUUCUCUUCAUAUUAAAAAAAAGAUGUAGACAUUCUAUGAACUUAACCAGAGAGGGGUUUUGAGGCAAAUACAUUCUAUCUAUAGACUGAAAAUAAUUUUGUCAAGUUUCCUGAACUUUGUUUGAUGAGAUCUGAACAUAAUCUUUUUGCCAAAUAUAAGGUUGAUUUUGGGUGGAGUAGGAUAGGAACUCAUUUCUCCUUGGUUCCUAUUUAAUGCUAUUUCCAACAAUGCUUAUACUGACCAGAACAUUUCUUCCUAAAAUACAAAGAUACUGAGGAAAGGAAACAGGACACAAAUUGCAUCCAAUUUUAAGAAUAAGUGAAGAGUAUUGUAAAACACCAUUUACUUAAUCAACAUUUAUUUUAUUCAGCUUCUAUUUAUAAUCACCUACUGUAUCAGGGCCCAAUACAAGGUGCAAGAGAUGUAAUGAUAAACAGAAGCUAUCCCUGUCCUUAUAGAAUUUUCCAUGUAAGGAUCAGACAUGAAAUUAAGAUAUCACAAUGUGUUCUCUUGGGAUCCAGCUACUUAAAAAUAUAAACGUGACCACAUAUCUGGAUUACCCUGGUUAAUUAAAAACAGCUUAGGAAUUGAGAUCUUCAGACAAAUAUAUAAGUAAAAAAUAAUCUUUGAUGGAAACUAUGUUCAAAUUAUUAGCCUCAAGAGUUUAUUUUUUAAUUUAUGUUUAGAAAAAUUUCAUCUUAACAACCACCAAGAUAAACCAGACUUCAACCUCCUGAACAAUACAAGUCUCAUUAGAAUGUGCACAAAGUUGACUGCAAUGAAGAAAAAAAUAAGAUCUUUAAGAAAGAUAAAGUAGAAAGUUUUAGAAAUUUUUGAGGAAUAGCAAGUUCUUUAACAUUUAUCAAAUGACUAUACAGAUAGCUACACAUAUCUAUACUGUUAAAUGAGUUUACAUAUCUAUUAUCUCAUUAGGACUCCAGGACCUGAUACCUAAGAAGUUUGAUAUCACUGUGGGGUGGUAAUGGGGGAAGCAAUUUUCAUCAACUCUUCUAUGGAAGAAGAAAUUCUUUUGUACAGCAAAAUGACAGAAAUGGUGGUUCUUCCAGAAAAGCACAACUAAUACAGGACAAAACUAAACAAGGACACCAUCUCUUGGUGGCGCCUCAUUAAGAUGAGUCCCAGGGAGUGCCUAGAAAUUCCGACAGGCAAUAUUCUCUUCCUCAAACUCUGUAUUUUCUUAACUGAGAGAAAAGAAAGGAGGACCGUGGAGAACUGAACUCUAAGGGAAAGUGAUGCUGGCCCAGUCUGACAAGAUCAGAGGCCGGGGUGACAGGAAGAAAGACUUUAGGAGAAAGCCAGACCCAAGGAGAACUUAGAACUCUUUUUAAGAACAACAGACCUCUUGUGCUGUGACAAGAAUUGCUUAUUUCCUCUAAAAACUUUGUUGAAGUCACAUAUAACGUUGGCAGAUAGUCUUAGAGGAUUGCUGUACCCCCAAGCAUUAUGCUCCUGGCUUUAUGUCUUUGCCUUUGUAUCUUCACAAUGAAUUAGCCUUGUCAUCUCUUCUGUCCCUGACAGUUUGACAUGCAUCCAUGUGACCCCACAGCUGUACCAUUCUUGACAUCUAGAUGAGGCUCUAUGGCAGGAAUCUCCUUUUGGAUUUGUUCCUUUUUUUUUUCUUUUUUUCUUUCUUCAUUAGCCUACCGUUCUUAUUUGUGGAACUUCCAAAAGUACAAGUGAUCCAAAAACCUCGCUCUUUUAUUUUUUAUUUUCUUUUUUAGUUGUAGAUGGACACAAUACCUUUAUAUAUUUAUAUGUGGUGCUGAGGAUAGAACCCAGUACCUCAUACAUGCAAGGCACACACUUUACCACUGAGCCACAACCACAGCCCCCCAAAACCUCUCUUUUAAAUGAGAGGAGAAAUGUGAUAUUUAUCCAAAGUACAACUUUUACAAAAGGGCUUGUGCUCACACUGGUGAAUCUCAAGCUUGAGGUAACAUUGGAAUAGUGUCAAGGUCUUGGUUGUCCUUAGAUCAUCAUCAAACACCCAGUGCUGGUCUACACAGGGCAGCAAUUGAGAAAAGUCAGGAGGCAUUUCUGAUGAGGGAGAAAUCAAUGUUUCCUGGCCUUGUCUCUCUGCUUUUAAUUUCCACAGAUGUGUAAGGUUGCUGUUCUGAUCAAUCUGACCAGGCAUAUGAUAGCAAUAAUUUAUCACGGAGUCACUAGAAUUAAGGAAUAUAUGGGAAAGUCAGCUACAAACCUAGGUGAAUAUUGACUUUGUCAUUGUAACAUAGGGAGAAGAUUUGAGAGAGAAAAAGUUAAGGAUAGAAUUGCCAAAUAGCAAUAAAAGGUCAAAGGAAACUGUGUAAAUCCAAUUGCCCUGUCUUAGUUCUUUGGACUGAGUGUUUGGACCAUUUUCCUGGUUACACAGGCCAUCUCUUUUUAGAACAAAGAGAAAAGAGGAUUGAUGUCUAUUUCUUAUAAUGUUAGCCACACAACUUCGCACUGUGAGCCGGGUGUGUGUUGAUGUGUUCAUGUACGCACACCCAAAGUACUCAAAGUAAGCUCUGCACAUUGCUGCCAUAAUAGAUUUAAUCCUGAAAGUAGCUCGGACACACACCCAUUUGUCUUUAACUUGAGAUCCCUGGCUCCAUAUCCUACUUUUAUGAAUUCCAGUCUCCCCUUUGCUUGGGGAAUUCAGAGGAUUCGUCUCCUAGAGAGGAGCUGAGUUUAUUGCCCUUGGCUUCCUUUUUUUUCCUUCAACCAGUCCUUAGACUUUCUGAAGGAGCUGUUGAAGUUCUAAAAAUGAAGAGUAGCUUUUUGCAGAAUCUGGAGAGGGUUGAGGUGGACAGACAAGAACAUCUGGAUUUCUGAAUACCUGGAUUUUCUAAUUGCAACACAAGGAGUGUCUGUUGGGCCUCUGCAUAGGCUUUUUUAAAGUUUUUUUUUUUUUUUUUUUGUUUUUUUUUUUUUAGAGAGAGAGAGAAUUUCAAUAUUUAUUUUUCAGUCUUCGGCAGACACAACAUCCUUGUUUGUAUGUGGUGCUGAGGGUCGAACCCGGGCCGCACACAUGCCAGGCGAGCACGUUACCGCCUGAGCCACAUCCCCACACCUGCAUAGGCUUUUAAUGUUAAUUUCCUGCUUCACUAGAAGCCUUAGCCACUUCAAAACAUCCCGGUUUGCUGGCCUCUAUUUGGUACAAAUACUGCCCUGAAGAUAUUGGGGUCCUUUUCAUUAGGAAUCCCAGCAUUUACAAGGAUAUCCAAACUCAGGAGCAUCUGCAAAGGGAAAAUGAGAAAGGGUGGUGACAAAGUGCUCCAAGCUGAUGGCAGAGAUAGAAUUAUUAUUAAUGGGAAAUCAUUGAAUUUUGGUUCCAGUUAAGCGUGAAACAUUAAGCAUUCCUCUAGCGUUUCUCUCUGUGGUAUUAAAUUGACUACAAAUUGUGAUUUUUAAUGGAAAAUAUGAUGAAGCAUUCAGCUGCAGCCCAACCUACUCAGCUCAAAUUCCCUCUUCCAUUGUUUAUUUGCUAUUUUAAUACUCCAGGCUUUAGAAACAAGAAAACGGUUCUUAAAGGUUUUGGGAAAAUUUGCUAAGAAUCCAAGCUAAGUGAAUCAUCACCAUUCAAUGUCACUUUUUAAAGUUUCCACUUAGCUUUCCAUUAGGUCAGAAAAGGAAUAUUUAUAUUUUUUAGUGCAUCUCAGCUCUUUGGGUACAAGCAUGAAAUGGCUUUAUUUUUCCCAAAAAAAACUGCUUCCCAACUGUGCUGUGUCAUUCCCCUUCCCUAAUGGGUAAUAUCUUUCCUAAUAAUAUCUUAGUCUUACUUCUAGAUUGUUAUAGCUUGGAUCUGGAAUGUUCCCCCAAAGGCUUAUUUCUUGAAGACUUGUCCCCAGCUGAUGACACUACAGGGAAGUGAUUGAGACCUUUAGAGGCUGGACCUCUCUGGAAUACCUGGGUCACUGGGUAUGUGUCUUUGAAGGUUUUAUUUUGUUUCUGGACCUUUUCUCAUUUUUAUAUACUUCUUGGCAAUGAUAUGAGGAGCUCUGUUAUAUCAUGUAUCCCCUCCCAUGAUAUUCUGUCUCACAACAGGCCUAAAAGCAAAGCAGCCAGCCACCACCCAUGGACUGAAACCUGUAAAACCAUGAGUCAGAAUAAUUCUUCCCCCUUAAGUUGGUUUUUCUCAAGUCACUGUGAUAAAAAGCUGACUAACACAGAAAAUUGGUACCAGAAGUAGUAUCACUGCUGUGACUGCAAUUGAUGAUGUGGUUCAGGAGCCUUUGGAACUGGUAUGUGGGAGAAAUUUGGAAAGGUUUAGAGAUGCAGAAUAGAGAAUCCCUAAAAUGUUAUAAGAAGAACUUAAUGGACAAUUCUAAUGUGAACUCAGAAGACCAGAAUAGUGCUAUGGAUACAAACAGUAAAGGUUGUGCUCAUGAGCUUUCAGAUAAAAAGUGAGAACUCCAUUGAGAAUUGGACUAGAAGCCUUUCAUGUCACAUUAUGGCAAAGAUCAUGCCUAUAUUUUGUCCAUGCCCUGAAACUUUGUGUGAAUCUGAGUUUAAAGAUGAUGGACCAAUUAAUCUGGCAGACAAAAUUUCAAGGCUGCACAGCAUUCAGGUAGUGGCAUGGGCAUUGAUGGGUUUUUUAGACAGAUUGACUGUUGAGAAUUUAGAGUAAAAAUCAGAGCAAAAAGUUUUGAAAUUUUUACAGUUUGUCCCCAAAAGAAGCAAGUUUAAAGUUAGGGCCAAGGAAGCUGUGGUUGCCAAAGAGAUUAGCACCUCUAAAAAGAAGCCAAAUAUUUUAUACCAAGUGCCUUCAGAGCAUCUCAGAAAUUUUCCAGAUGCUAUCCCUUGCAGGUUCAAGGAUGUAAAGUUUAAAUUUGUCUUAAAGACUUUGCUUUGGAAGGGAUCACUGGGCACUCUCUUCACAUAGAGCCACCUAAGAAGUUGUUUCCCUAGGAUUCAUUUCAUCAUGCUCAAUUGUCCAGGCACUCAGAGGCCACAGCAGCCAAGAUUCAAUGGAGCCAGGCUACUGCUCAAGCAUUUGGCAGAUCUUGGUGUCAUCACAUGAUGCUAGUUUUGCAGGAAUGCAGAACACAAGAGUUAUGGGGCCACAGAUUCAUCCUCUGAGAUUUCUAAAGAAAGCUCAGGAGGCCAGGCAUUUUAUAAGAGAGCCAGAGUCCCUGAUAGGGUGAUGCUUGAAGCUAUGAGAGUAAAGGCAAAGCUUCAGUGGAGACCCCAAGAAUUUAAAGAUGCCAGAAACAGGGAGCAUCUACCAAGGUAAGCUACAAGCAGUGGCCAGACCCAGUUCAAGAGGAGAGCCAUGUGGGCUGCAGCCAGCAAGACCAUUCAGGAGGAGCUGCCCAAGCCUCCAUGAGCUCAUCUUUCCACCAUGUGCCCUGAAUGACAGACAUGGAGGUACAAGAUUUGCUUUGUUCUGAUUCUUCCUUGUUAUUCUCGUAUUUCUUCCUUUUGGAAUGGGAGUUUUAUCCUGUGCCAUUGUGGGUUAUAAGUAUGUAACUUGUUGAUUUUAAAAAAAUUUUUUACAGGAGCUCACAGCUAAGAGUUUGCCUUGAGUCUCAGAGGAGACUUUUGGACUUGGAUUUUUGAGCAAUGCUAGAACUAUUAAAAGUUUGGAAACUCUUACUGCUGGACCAAAUUCAUCUUGCUCUGUGAGAAGGGCAUGAGCAUUUGGGGUCCAGUUUUGCUCUGGAACAUCACCCCAAAGACCUAUGUGUUGAAGGCUUGCCCCCAACUGGUGGCACUACUGUGAGGUCUAAACUUUAAGAGGUGUGUCCUAGUUGGAAUAGGUGGUCACUGGAGGUGUGUUUUUGAAGGGCUUAUCUUGUCCAAGAGUCUCUUUAUCUCUGAAUCUCCUUUCUGGUCACCAUGAGAUGAGUAACUUUGCUUUACUAUGUAUUCCCCCCAUGAUAUUCUAACUCACUACAGAUCUAAAAGCAAUGGAGCUAGCUGCCCAUGAACUGAAACCUCUGAAACCAUGAGCCCCAAUACAUUUUUACUCCUUUAAGUUGUUCUUUUCAGGUAUUUAGUCACAGUGGCAGAAAGGCGACGAACACUUGAUUUUCAGUCACAUUAAAGUAUAGGGGAGUCCUAUUCUGGUAUACAGACUUUACUUGUAAAGUAUUGUCUACAUCUGAAUUAAACUUCUUUUCUCCUUUACCAGUUCUGGAGUGUGUUGUGGGCUGGGGAGAGAAGGGGUGGCUAGUUCCAGAUAAUCUCUGACUCCUAUCUGUUUCCUAGGUAAUAGUUUCUGAGAUGUUGCAUACACCAAGGAAUGAUGGACAGAUAGGACCCUGCCUGAUUUACAUAUUCUUAUCAGGAAAAGAAAAAAGUUAGAAAAUUUGCUGCAUUACUUCAGCCUCUUUGACACUCUCAUGGUCUCUUUUCUAAUUCUUUACUUGGCAACAUAAGCUACUCAGGGGGUGAUAGGCAAGGUCACCAGCAAAGAAGACAGGCAGGGAAGGGUAUGCAGUGGCAGCAUGCAUCUCACAGGCUUUCUACAUAAUUUUGAGUGAUUCUCUUGGAACUCAUCCCCUUCCGUUGCUCAUAGAAAAAGAAGCACUCUCCUGGUGGGAAGUAACAUCCUUCAAAAGGCUGGUUUCCUUUCUCUUUGUGUGCCCUGUGUUGGUCAGUGGUGAGCACUUGGCAGGGGUGGUGAUGCUGGGUUAGUUCUGUGUCUUUCAGCAAAUCCUGCAGGAAUGGCUGGAAAUGAGAUGCAUUCACUACUUCUCAUUCUUUGGUUGGGACUUAACUUUUCAUAUGAUGAGACAUGAAAAAAAUCUCAAUUAAUAGCAUCCUAAAUUUAGUUGUGACUAUAAUCUUUUGCUCCCCUGCUUCUAAGAAGAGUCUUGUUUAGAUAAGAGCAGUGUGAGUACCUCUAACCACAGCUGGGCAGCUGUAUUCUAAUCAUUCCGCUCUUAAUGGAGCUGCCUUGGUGUAGUCUUCAGUCCAAACAAGCUUUUCCGUGCAUGCUGGUUUCUUGGAUAGAUUAGAUUAACCUUUCUUUAUGUUCCUAGCUAACGUGCAUUCAGUUUCACUCAGCACCUGUCCACUGCCCCUCAUUUCCACACACAUACUCUCUCUUUCAUCAGUGAUUGCUCCAUCUCGUACCUUGAGAUGGAAUUGCUGAAGCACUAAUAAAUCCCCAUGAUUUCCAACCUAUCUUCACAUGCCCCGACUUGCAGCCUUCCCUAGAAUCCCUUUUUCAUCAGGAGAGAGCUGAUCAUUAAUCUUCCCUUUACGGACAAAUGCAGCUGAAGCCCCAGGCCCCACGGCCUGAUUCUUCCCCUUUCCUCCUGACCUUCUCUCUCAUCUUUACUUCUUCCAGUGUAUGGUGAUGAAUAAUUCAGAGGUUUGCCUUUGUUCCACCAUAGGUGUGGAUUCUCUAAACUCUUCAAGGCAGUGUUCAAGCUAAGUGUCUCUGUAUGACUCAAGAAGUUAGUAUCAAACUCGGCAUAGAGACUAAAGGUACCUUCAAAUGUUUACUCCUGACACCAGAAGUUUUAUGGUUAAAGUGACCACAAGUGACACAGAAUUCACCAAUCAGAAAAUCCAGUGCCCCAUUGGGCUUCUGUUAUCCUAGAAAUCAUAAGAGAAGAUAGAUUAUAUCAACAGAAUGAAGGGUUUAUCCUAAACCAAGUGUUCAUUUUUACUGAGUUAGACAAUGCCUUUUCAAAGAUGGAGAGUAUUUUAAAAGUGUGUUUGAUUUCAUUUUAUUCAGCAAGCACAUUAAUGAACACAGUCCUUAACCUUGAGAAUCUCCCUGCCAAGGAGGAUGGUCAAACAUCUACCCAAGUAGUUCCAGGAAAGGUCGAUGGGAUGAUGGGCAACAUCCUGAGAAGGAAGAGUUUGGGAGCAUGUGAGGAGGCCACCUGGGUUAGAACCUGGAUGGUUACUGAAGUGGGUGGUGCAGAGCCAGGGACGAGAGCCUGAGCAAAAACAAAGAAAGUAGAACUCAGGGUGCAUUUCAGGAACAGCAAUUAGUCCACUGACUUUGAAGACUGGGAGCUGAAGGAAAAAAGGGGAUUAAAGAAAUGGGGAGAGGUAAUGCUGAAGACCAGAUUUAGUUUGGAUCUGAUUAUAUAAGCAAAAAUGUGUUGCUUAAGAGUCCCGGAGGAGGAGAAAGUCCAGUUAGACAGUUAGACGUACUCACAUUUGAUUAGGACAACAACCCAAAGAGGUAGGUACUGCCCUUAUCCCUGUCCCACAAAUGAGGAAAUUGAGAGUCUAAGGAAUUUAGCCAUGCGCCAAGGAUUUGGGGCUACCUACAGACCAAGUAGAAACUGAACCCACUGCUUAUUACUCACGCAGCCUUUGACGUCAGAUAGUUUGUGCUCAGGUUUCAGGCAAGGGCAGGUGUUAGGGCUGCAGGACUUGGAGAGAUAGUAAACUAAAUUAGGGCUGCAUUUGGGAGUGCAGACAGGGAAAGAUUUCUGGAAGCACAGAGUGCUGAAGGUGGAGCGGGGAGCUUUAUGCUUUUCAUAAUGUGCCAAUGCCGGGAGCACUGGGUGCCACAGAAGUUAGAUGAAAGUGGAGUAGUGCUUCAAAGGAGUGAGAGAUUGCCUUCAUCACAGAUUAAGGAAGGCCUCAGGAAUGAGCACAGUGGCCUUUUGCUAUCUGUAUACUCUGCUGCAUCCCUACAGCCCAGAGUCAAACAUGCCAUAGACAGCCGUGCUCAGGAACUGAAUGAAUGAGGCGUGAAUGAGUGCACGUAGGAUGAAGAGGAAGAGUCAGGCUGAACGGUGUACUGUGAGGACAUAUUUCCUCUGUGUAUACUUCUCCUUUCUCCUUAGAUGUGGUCACUCCCCUCAAAGAUGUUUGCAAAUGAUUUUUUAUUGUGUUCAUUUCAAUAAACAUAUCCUACCUGGAAGACUGACUUUCUGCUAGAAGUCUUAUCUAUAGAUGUCUAUUCAGGGCUGCAAAAGUGGUAGAGCAGGAGAAGAAAGGGACUCAGAAUCAAGCAGACUUGGUCUUGACUCCUGCCACCUGAUUUUGGACAAGAGAGAUACCUCAACCUUUAUUUCUCCAUCUGUAAUAAAAGAGUGAUCAACAGCUCUUGAAAAUAACCGUCCUUAAUGUAAUAAUUAGUCUAUUUUCACCCCCACAAAAAUACAAGUACUGGGCAUGCGCACCAUGCCUGCUGAGUGUAUGCUCCAAGAUUUAGGAGGAAAGUUCAAACCCAAAGGAAAACCUGACCACCACCAUACUGGAAAACCAUUUGCUUGGUAUAAAGAAAAACUGAUCUAAAUAUGGAAUUUAAACAUUAAAAUUUCAUUCUUAGAGUGCAUGGCUGAAUUGAGUGAUGCUCUGGGAUCACUCCAUUAUGCUGUUAAAAUCUCUGCUUCAUAUUGGAGAAGUGUGUUUAAAAACUUGAUGAUCCAAGGGGAAUUUCAUAGUGGCAAAUAGCUGCAAUGGGGGGAGAAUCCUAAUGGACUGAAUGAUCUUAACAACUGCCCAUUGGACUCUUUCUAGCCAAGUCAUUGUUUCCCUGUUGUGGUGUUGCUUCUGAAAAAAAAAAAAAAGUCUGAUUGUGCUGAGAGCCAUAGCCAAAUAGGAAUGACACAUGGCAAUUUCCUUGUCAGCCUACCCAAUGUUGCUUAGAGGGAGGACUCUCCAUUGUGGAAAUGGGCUUGCCUUGGACCCAGGUCAUUUGCAGUGACAUUGCAUGAAUGUUUGAGAAAGGUGACCCUGCUCAAGGACCAGGGCGGAUCCAGGUUUAGGGCGGUUCCAGGUUUAGGGUGUGGAUCCUGCUGAGAAUAGGGCGGUUCCAGGUUUAAAGUGGAUCCUGCUGGGAAUAGGGCUUAUUCUGCUGCCUCGGGCCCCACUCCUUGAGUUCCCCUUGAGUUCUUACGGGAUUCAGAGAGUAUUUGGGAUGCAGAGCCCGGUGGAGUGUGUGGAUUUUCCCAGAACGUGCGUGUAGAGUGCCGGUGAGAGUUCAGGAAUAAAGAAUUGCUGUUUGAAUCUACAAGGCGGUGUGGUGGCCCGGUUAUUUUGUGCCCAGCCAGACUGCGGCAUGAUUGAAUUCGCUAUUGAACUUUCAUUUCCUUGGAAUAAUAAUAUAACAACAACAGUAGCAAAACAGAGCACCAAGACCCACCAUCUACUGAACAUCUUCUCAGUGUAAGUACCAGAAAAGGCACAUUUUACUUGAUUGUACUUCAUCAUCACAAAACUUUAUGUGAGAAAAAUUAUCACCUGCCUUUUAGAUAUAAAACGAUUGAAUCUUAGAAAAAUUAAAUAAACUUUUUGACAUCAUCUUCUAGUAAGUGCUAGGCCAGGAUUUGUAUCCAUAGCUAUUGAUUUGAAAGUCAUUUUGUUACCCUUCCUUUCACAGUACAGGACAUACUUACUCUUCACAACCUACAGUCCUGGAAAUUUAUUGUCAACAAAUGCAGCCGACUAUGGGCUACUACUUGUCUGCCCCACCUGAGCUCUGUAUGACCUGGAUUCAGAAUGUAGCUGGGCCUAAGAAAAAUGCUUUCCUGUAAGCAUUUUCCUGUAAAUGCUUUUCCUGUAAGCAUUCCUUACCAAUAAGGAAUGGGCUCAGAGGUACAGCCAAUCCCAUGUCCCACUGAGACCAGGAUAUGUCUUAGUUUUCAUUCAUAAAGCAAAGUGACUCUAUCUGAAGCUUGACUCCUACAUGGCUUGAUUUAUUUCAGGGAUCUUGGAAAAGACACCCAGUGGAAAAACCCUAUAGUCUAGCUAAACAUUUGUCAAUUUUGUUGUUCAUUUGUAAGAACCUACUUUUGGUUUCAUUUCAUCUCAUUUUUUUUCCAUCCUCUAUUUUAUCAAUGUCUGUUUUCACCUUUACUACUUCCUUCCUUGUUCCUGUUUGGGGUUCUGUUUGCUCUUACUUUUCUAGUCUUAGGACAUGAGGUUAGUUAUUAUUUGGGGACUUGUUUUUAAUAUAUGCAUUUAUAGCAAUAAAAUUUUCUCUAAGCAUUCUGUUCCCUUUGCCCCACAUUUGUUGAGAUUUUGUUUUUAUUCAUCUCAAAGUACUUCUAAUAUUCCUUGUGACUUCUUUGAUCUACCUAGAAUUGUGUAUUUAAUAUUCACAUAUUUGUGAAAUUUUCAAAUUUUCUCAUGUUAUUUAUUUCUAAUUCUAUUCCAUUAUGUUCAUACAGUGUACUCUGCAUAAUCACAUCUUUUCAGGUUACUGAACACUUUUUUGUGACCCAAGAAUUGUCUGUCUUGGAGAAUGCUCCAUGUGUGCUUGAGAAGAAUGUGUAUUCUGCUGCUUUAGCAUGGAUUGUUCUAUAGAAAACUACUACAUCUAGUUGGUUUAUAAUGUUUUCCAUGUCUUAUAUUUCCUUGUUAAUCUUCUGCUUAGUUCUAUCAAUUAUUGAAUUCUAUAUCUUAUUGAUAUAUAAUUCACAUUCCACAAAACACAUACAACUCAAUGGCUCUUAGUAUAAUCACUAAGUUGUGCAACCAUCACUCCUACCCAAUUACUAAAUAUUUUUAUAAUCCCCCAAAGAAACCCCAUUAGCCAUCCACUCCACCAUUCAUUCUCAGAGGCCACGUUAACCUGCAGCAUGAUUUCUAAGGGCUUGGGCCCUCACAGAUGAAUUUGAGAUUGCUUCCUUUGGCUCCAAGUCACUCCUUUUAAAAAAAAAAAAUCUCGAACAUAUUGACAAGCAAAGUAAUUAAAGGAUAAAGUAUGGACUAUUACUUAGAAUUCAGAUGUACAUUGAAAUUAGAGGUAGACAACCUGUAUUCAAAUUAAGGAGCCACGACUUGGCACUCCAUCCAUAGAACAUGCCACCUCCUCUAUUAUUUUUCUUACCCAUAGAAGGAAAUAAUGGUACCUUUACAGAAUUUUUAAGCAAAACAAGUGAAAUAUUGGGAUUUAUAAGUAAAGGUCUAUAUGGAUGUGAAUUGUUUUUCCAUAACUCCACAGGGGAGUUAUGGAGCUUGCAGUUUGCCCAAAUCCUCAAGUCUGGAAUAGAAAAUGAUAAUCUCCAGAGACAUGAGCCCAUGAAGUCCACCUUCUUCAGCUUGACCAUCUAGAUGGAAAGUGAUUGAUCCUUUUCUACAACAUCUUCAGAAGAUGGUCCCAACAUUCCUUAAGGUGUCAUUUGUAAACAGGUGUUCACCAGCCUCCAAUCCUUGCAUCACUGCUACUUCUCCGGGAUCUGGACAUGCAGUCUGCUGCUGAGCAAACCUAAUAAUCUUGACAGUGGUCAGCCCUGUGUUGUUGGGCCACAACCUUUUCCCAGAAUAAUAGCACAGGAGUGACCAGCUCAGGAAUCAUCACAAAAUAAUCUCAUAUGCCAUAACAACAUUUCCUACUGCAGUCUCAUCUCGAUUCUACCUCUGGUGGCAAACAAGAUCUGGUCAACAUCAUCAAUCAGAUUAUCUUGCUAAGAACUUAAACUCCGUAACCAAUCACCUUCACUUUUGUGGGCAAAUUAACUCAGGUUUUAUCUUACUUGAUCAGCCUACUUUUCAAUAUUGGGAUCCCCUUGGUGGCUAAAUUCCUAAUUAUAUCCAUACAAAGUUGCACUGGCUAGAAAAUAUACUAAUUACCUAAUAUUUCUUUGAUCUGCUGUGUCAGAGCCAAGGGUUGUUGUCUAAAAAGAAGAGAUUAUGAAAGAAAAUAAGUACCUUUCUCAAGGCCACUAGCUUAAUUAGUCAGUUGUGAGACAUAGAACACUGGCUCUAAUUGGUCUGCACAUUCAAAUCAUCAGGGGUGUACUUACAUUUUUGAUGCCCAGACAUGUACUACAGAUCUAUUACAUCAGAAUCUCUUGGGGGUAGAACUGAAAUCAGUAUUUUUAAAACUCUUGAUAUGACUCUAACAUACAGCCAAGAGCCAAUGAUUUAGAAAAUGAUUCUCAAACUUUGAUGCACAAUAAAUAGCAUUACUUAAGGAUGCUAAAAUGUCAAUUCUGAUUCAGGAGGACAGAAUCACGGGAGGGCUGAAAUUCUACAUUUCUAACAAGCUCUAGGGGUUGGUAAUACUACAGAUCCAUAGGCUAUACUUUGAACAGCAAGAUCAAAACAGCAUUAGUUUUGACUUUGCUGCACAUUAGAAUUCACUGAGAAGCUUAUAAAACUGUCAGUGCAUGGAUGCACCUGAUAUCAGACUAAAUUAGACUUGGCAAGAAUGGGACACUGAUAUUAGUGUUCCUUAACAUUCAUCAGAUGAUUCUACUGUUCAGUGCAUUUGUGGAGCAGUGACUGAGAAUUUCAGCCCUUCUAUCCUGGUUUCAUCCAGUGAGCAGGAAGGAUGAACCAUAGAGAAAUUAUAAUUCACAUAACAAUUUUUUUAGAAUAACACACGUCAUGUCUGAUACAUCUCUAAUUCAUCAGUCAAUCCUACCAGGUCAAUCUUGAUCCAUAUAACGAAUGCACAUACUUCCAUGACUGCCCUCCAAGAACCACCAUCAUUUCUUGCCCUAAGGAUGGGAUAGCACUUCAACUGAAACCAUCUCCACACUGAAAUGACUUGCACAUUGAAACGAACUCCCAAUGGGAAAGGCCUACUAACCAGAGUAGUCUCCCAACUGGAAUAUUCUCCCAAUAGGAACAGCUUCCUGACAUGCUUUGUCUGUCCUGCCUUCCUAUGUCCUCUAACAACAGCCAGAUUGGCCUUUUUAUAACAUUAAUUACAUCAUGAAUUAUAUCAUUAAUUAGAUCAUGAAAGGUCAUCAUGAUAUUCCAUGGAACUAAAAGAUAAUCCACAUCCUUGACCAUGACCACUAACUCUUCUUUUUUUGUUUACCCACCUAGAUCUAUCUCUUUUCAUUGGUCUCUGAGGCCAGUCUUCACUAGCUUGUCCACAUAGGUCUCCUUGCUGAGUGUGAAUAUCCCAAGAACAUCCAUUUUGGGGACCUUUGCACUUGUCACUUGUUUACAAAACUAAUCUGCACACAGUCAAUCCCUUUUUGUCAUGUAGUACAUAAGUGCCACCUCUUAUGAGAGGCUUUCUUUGUCUACUACCCUAAAAUUCCCAUUCUAUUCUUCCAGUCUCUUUGAAUCACAUCACCAUAUUUUAUGUUGUUUUUAGAUAGUAUUUAACAUAGCUGACUCAUUCCUGUGUUCAAUAAAAUGUUUACGGAGCACCUAUCAUGUUUUAAUGGCUCUUCCAGGAAAGAGUGAUAGGUACGUGGGCAAGACAGUCAAGUUCAUAGCCUUAUGGAAUUUACAGUCCAGCUAAAUUCUCACUUGUGGCCUGAAUUAUCAUAUACCAUGUUCUCUCUCUCUCUCUCUCUCUCUCUCUCUCUCCCCCCCCCCCCCCCACCCUUUUUUGGCUGCUGCCUGUCUCCCUCUGCUAGACUCCCACAUAGUAGGGAUCUUGGAAAAUUUUCCUUCACUGUGUUCUUGGUUUCUAGAAUACCCAUAACAUCAGUGAUCAAAUAAAUGUUUAAGAUUAAGUAGCUUUAAAACACUGAAAAUUCUGAGAUUGAUGAAUUCUAUCGAUCAAAGCACAAAUUUUCUUUUCUUCUUAUCCUUUAACCUCUUCUUAACUCACUUUAUCUCCUAAUGUCAAGAGCUUUUGAAUAAAAUCUAAUCCCAUGUUAUCCAAAAUAUAGACCCCAGAACAGCAUUACUAAUAUCACCUGGAACUCUUGAAAAUGCAUUCUCAGGCCCUAUCCCAGAACUACUGAACAUGCAUUUUAUGAGAUUCCCAGGGGAUUCCUAUGCACGUUAGAGUUUAACAGCAAUAGAUAUUCCAUAACCCCUUUGUUAGAGGCCAAGAGAAGGGACUCUCCCAGGAAUGAUAUGCAAUUCUUCUGACCCAUAGCAUGAAGCUUCACAAGUAUCAUAUUGGUAUUUCAGUAAGGGACUGAGACACAAAAUCUGUAACCUGAAAAGUGUCCCCAAUGGCAAAUAUUUCUGGAAGAAUCGCCCUUAGAUAGCUACCAAAUCCCAGUGUACAUGUGCCUACCACCCUUUCCUCUUACUCAACCAAGCACCUGUUGCCAAAUGACUUCCAGGUGUGAGUGGUUCCUCUCUAAAGCCAUUCCUUGAUACACAUCCAGAUCCUGUUUCCUCCACACAGAAACUCAUGUUGUCCUUUUAUUCUCAACCAUCAGGCAGUUUCCAUUCAAAACCUUUCCUUAGAGAGGGCUGUUCUCUGCUCACCUUUCAAAAGAUAACAGGUGUCCUUUGAGAAUUAAGCUGUGCAUAUGCAACUCUGAGGGCUUUGGAAAUGCAGCUCCACCAGCACAGCCCUGGCAAGCACUCUGACUGCUGUUUUCCAUACGGGUGUUAUUCUGACUCUGCAAUGCAGUAGAUUCUCUCUGCUGUCAGGGCUAACCAACUUCUGGGAUGUCACAUCCUCACCUGACUCUGUAGGAAGGCUUGUAGUAAAGCUAUUCCAUUUCUAAAGUAUGUUGCAAUAUGUGUAGCAGAUUCUAUUUCUUUGACUUAGCAGUUAAUAAAGAAGGGGGUAUUUUAAAAAGCUGCACUUUACCUUCUGUGUUCAAGCAUCUGCAUGUAGAUCCCCUGGCUCAGGCUAACCCUGAAGAUGUUACUCCCUUACGGGGCCCCAGAUAAAUUCACCUAGUCUCAUUCCAGCCUAAAAUAACUAAAAAGAUAAGAAAAAUCUAAAAUGAUAAAUAUAAAAUAAAUCACUGAAUUCUCCUCCUGAAAAAGUAAAACUGAAUCUUCUCCCAGCAAAACAGAAUUUUGAAAGGCUAUAAUUUAUACUCAAAAAUAAUGAAAAGACAUCAUUUACCUGGCCUUCAUGUUGGUGGAAGCAGCAGGGAUUUGGGAAUGAGGCAGAUUUGGGUUUGGAUCAUGUUCUGCUGCUUAUGACACUGCAACCUGGAACAUGCCACCUGAUCUCUCUGACCCCAAGGAUUCUGUGUCACUGUAGGGGACUAAUCCACUGCAAGGGGAAAUUGAACCUGCCUGAGACCUGGGGUGUGGUAGGCAUCAAUAGACACAGUAGAAUGAUUCCAACAGUUGUAAUUAUUAGUGUUCACAGCCUUCACCAGCAAUAGUAGCAGCAGCAUAUAAAUACACCAUCUACAUUCACCAGGUAAGUGGCUAUGGAUCUGGGAUUUAAAUGGACUUAAACACUGAAGGUGUGCAAGUGUAUACAUAAUAGAUGAGGAUAAUCAGUCAACAGGAAACAUUAAUUAGCAAAUUCCUAAACCAUGGCUUCACUUACAAAGUCAGUAAAGAGGACAAGCAUCUAUUGGCUCACAAGGCCGCAUGGCUGCUAAUAAUAAGAGAUGCCCCCUGUGAGCACAAACAUUCCUAGGUGUCAGUGUGGGUCAGGGUUGGGCAGACAGGACCCAGGCUGAGGCUCUGGCCUGGAUAGUACCUCAGGAUUUCAGCAGACACAAGCAGGAACAAAAUUCGGAACCCUCACACAUCAGAUGGAGCACUAAUCUCUAGUGUAUAUAAAGAACUCAAAAAGCUAAACACCAAAAAAAAAAAAAACAAAUAACCUUAUCAACAAAUGGGCCAAGGACAUGAGCAGACACUUCUCAGAAGAGGAUAUUCAAUCAAUCAACAAAUAUAUGAAAAAAUGUUCAUCAUCUCUAGCAAUCAUAGAAAUGCAAAUCAAAACUACUCUAAGAUACCAUCUCACUCCAGUCAGAAUGGUAGCUAUUAUGAAGACAAACAACAAUUUGUAGGUAAAUAGGUGGAGUUGGAGAAGAUAAUGCUAAGUGAAGUUAGCCAAUCCCCCCAAAAAACAAAUGCCAAAUGUUUUCUCUGAUAUAAGGAGGCCGAUUCAUAGUGGGGUAAGGAGGGGGAGCAUGGUGCCAUUUCCAGUCUCAGGGAUCAUUCUUAGGCUUUUUCCCUUUAAUAAAAGCUUGUCUCAAGAUGGGAUAUCAUAUCAAUUAUAAGCAACUCACAGAUUGGAACAAAUCUCAGAAAGUAAACCGUAAUGCAUGACAUAGAGUAACUUAGAAAACAUCUCUGGGGAAUUACCUGGAAAGAAAAAAAAAGUUCUGUAAAAGAAGCCUUUUUGUCCUAAGGUGUUGGGGCCUAUACUUGCCACAGAGCUGCGGGUGUGUGAGGAAACAGCCUUGUGACUCUGGUCUUGUGAUAUUUCUGUGUACGUGGCGAUUUGAGUUUGAGAAAUGGCUUCCGUAUAUGUGCCUGUACAGUUAUGAGAUAUGGCUUCCGCAAACGUAGCAGGAUAUUAGAAUAAAUCCCCAGCAACAGGGACGUGCAUAUUUCUUAUUGGGUCCCAUCUCAUCUCUCCUCUACUUCCUACUUUCCUCUGCUAUAAAAGUCACCCCCCCACAUAAUAAAGUUGAGCUGCUGUGCCAUCACAGCUGACUCAACUCCCGACUCGGUGUGAUUUUUGGCCAGGUGAGGUGCCAGGGGCCGGGUCGAGACACUCAUCAUCUCGUUCAGCCCCGGAGACACUAGCUGGUCUAGUGCUCUCCCCUAAUCUCUGUCAGAGGGCGGUUCCGACACUGAGGAAGGAAUUUGGGCUGCAGCUAGGAAAGAGGCUGGGGAAGCCCCUCUUGGAGCAUCUCAAAGUGUCCAAAAUGGGCAGUUCCUCAUGCAAUAUCAGUGUUUUCAUUGUCACCACUGACAACUAUACCCUGGUGCCAGGGACUUCACAAAUGUCAUCCAUGAUCCUCGCAGUAACCCAGCAAGACAGCUCAUCUUCCCAACACUUUCAGUCUCAACUUCAGGGCUUCUUGAUCCCUAGGCUAUUCUAGAACAUUCUAAAAACACCUCACAUUAUUCCCCCACAGCCUUUUUCAGAUCACAUAAUUAUUUGGACCGUGAUGUCUUCUUCUUCUUCUUCCCUGGAUUCCAAGACCAUAGGAUAAGAACCAUGUCUUCUUCAUGCUUAUCUUCUACUCUUCAGCAACCUGAAAAAUGCCUCUAUCAUAGCUAUUCAAUAAAUAUUGUGACUCAUGAAUGACUGAAAUGAGUGAACAUCACUUAACUAUUUCUGAACCCACUUUAUCAAUGAGGAGACUUAGGCUUGGCAUGAAAGUUCAGCUCAAGGUCAAGAUCUAGUUUUAGUAGCUUAAGGACAGCUGAGCCAGUUCUCCCAGGUGCGUCGGCCUCCAGAGCUCCCUCUUGUCCACUCCACACUGAGCCUGGCUCAGCGCUGGGCAGGAACACACUUGCUAGUGGAGUCUGAGGCAUCUGUCUACUUCUUCCUCCUGAUCCUUCCACGUACAAUCUAGUGUCUUUUGAUCUCUGCCCUGGACUCUUGCUAAUUGGAUUUGCCAGGGCAUCGUCACAUCAAGAGUCAGUCACGAAGUCACUCUCUCUGCUGCUGUUUUUCUGGCAAAGAUAAGGACUCAUAACAAAUUUUUUAAAAUGAAAAGAGACUAAGGUCAAGAGUAGUUGUAGAACGCAUAUCUAAGAGGCCCCAUCAAAGCAGAAAACCAUGUGUGGCUUGACGGUGACUUAUGUCACACAUAAGCAGCAAUGACAGAAGAGUUCUGAAUGGUUGAGAGGAAAACCCAGAGUCUUGGAGGCCAUGGGGCAAAGGGUGAGAGCCUGAGGUGCUGGUGAGGGGACCUGAGCCCCCAGGUCCUCAUUGGGCAUGAUGACAAAACCCACUAAGCAUGAUUGCUCCAAGGGCUAAGUCAUAUAUUAUAUUUGGAAAAUGAUUGCAAAAGCCUUCAUGAGUAUGAAAAGUUGAAGGCUGACAAAUAAAGAUUGAGAAGCGAACAUCUUAUUUCCUUGGACAGGCUGACCUCACAAGAACCUCACAAAAGUAUAUAUAUUUUAUGACAUUUGAAUACCUGGGAACAGGGAAGUUAUCUCAGAGUAGGGAAGUCGUACCUUUGUAUGCAGGAAACAUUUUAGGUUUGAAUUCUGCAGACUGUGCCUAUUCAAGAAAACAAUCCUCAGGGAAUCCAUCAGACUCAUCCAUAGCUCAAGGAGCAGCUUUAAAGUUGUUGGCGUCAUUUGCAGCACAAACUUAGAUUAAGCAAUUUAUAGGCAGGAGAGAAUGUCUAAUUUGCACAUAACUGAUGGCAGGAAGAUGAAAGAUGAGUUCAUAAUAUUUCGGCUGACUCUGCAAUACAGCUUGGAGCCUUUUUUCUAAUUUCCUUCAAAAUUCAAAGAAAGAGAAAUACAAGCAGAACAAUUUCACUGCCUAAGGAUGGGACUCUGCCCUGUGCUCCAAGCCCUAUCCAAUUUGCUCCUAUCCUCCCAGUUCAGUCUCACCUGGAACAGGGCCAUGGUGGAAUUUGCUUUCCAGGGUAUCUCACAGCACCCCCGUGUCUACCCAGCUCUGGACUCUCCUUUUACUCAUGAAUUUACUGCACUUCAUUCACAGGUGCUGGGUACUGGGCGAUUCUGGGAAAUGUGACCUCAGAGAUGACAUCACCCACAGCCGACUACUGUGACAUGUGCCUCUCCCCAGUUUCCAUCAUUUGAUGUCCUGCUCCUCUUUCCCAAACAUUGCUAUUUCUUGAUUUCUCUUCUGAACCCUGUAAUCAGGCACAACUUUCCUCCUUGCUUUGUGACUCACUGAAUAGCUGUCAUCUAUUAAAAUUCUGUAGCAAUUCCUAGGGUGGGUGCAAUACUUUAACAAGUGGUGUGGGCUAAAUGCUCUGGACAAGUCACCUGGCUUAAUUUUCAAAAUAACACUAUGAAGUAGAUAGUAUCAUUAAGCUCAGACUUACAUAAGAUCACACAGAGCUGGAGGUGCAAUGUGUCCAAGGUCACUCAGCUGUGUGUGAUGAAGAGGGCUUCAAACCCAGGCAGUCUGGCUUCAAACCCAGACCAAUGCAAUUGGGCACAUCAUCUACCUCCACACUUGAUCUCAGCCAUUUUUCUCUAGGCUGUGACUUUCAUGAAAGCAGGGUUUGUCUCAUUCACCUCUCAUUCUACCCUGCCUACCACCCACUAACCCCUGUCAAGUGGGAUAGGUAAUGAGUCUGUAUUUGUUGGAUUAAAAUGAAUUCCAUAGAUACCCAGUUUAAAUUUAUGACCUUUUGGAUUCUUAUACCACAUCAGCUCACUUUGUACUUCAACAUUUUUGCAGUUUCAUUUGCAUAAACUCUUGGUGUUUGUGUCUCCAGAUGUCUUAUCACGCUACAGAGCUGGCUGAGUUUACUUUGACUCAUUCAGCGGCUGUUACAGGAAGUGGGCAGGGAAUUCGAUUUGUCCAAGAGGCUGAAAAGCAUUUUAGAGGAUGGAUGGAUCAACUAAGAAGGCUCCUGGGCUUUGCCAGGAGGACACAACUCAGGAAAUGCUUUGAACAGAGGUCCCUGCAGACUCAUCCUUCUUAGCCAGAGGCCACCUGGAAUGGUUACCUCUGUCCUCACAUCACAAGGUCCAGGCUGCAGGAUCCAACCUAAAAAUUCAGCCACAUUUUCUCUCUUAGCAAUUCUGGAGAAACUUUUUUGCUAGGAGUCAUAAGUCUGAUUGCAGCAGAGUAACUAGGGCAUUGAUCUUGUAAUAGUGCCUGAUCUCUAGUCAAGGCGUUCACUGAGACAAAAAUGUGUAGCUCCCAAUGACAAUAAGUCCACACAGACCUCAGGAAACUGAAGGGGAUAAGUGUGAGGGGCCUGACAGCACUGCUCUUAGGAUUUAAGCAGAAUAAAGCAAAAGACAGCCAUUUAUCCUGUAAUUUGUAGCUAUGGUUUUGGUCUCUAGUGUCCCCAAAAUGCUCAUUGAGUAUUAAAGGCUUGGUCCUCAGUGAGGUGAUACUAGGAGGUAGUGGAAGUUUCAAAGUUUUUUCACGUCCUAGCAUGAGGUGAGUGCUUUUGCCCUACUACAAGCCCCAACCAUGAUGUACAGGAUUGCAAGAGCAAUGGGACCAGUGGGUCAUAGACCGAAAUUCCCUAAACUGAGCAAAAAUAAGUCUUUAUUCUUUAUAAACUGAUUAUCUCAGGUAUUUUCUUAUAGUGCCAGAAAGAUAUCUAAUAUGUUUGGUAAAAAAAAAAAAAAGUGUGUUUUCUCAUUUACUGGAUUAAAUUUCUUAAAGACAUAAAAAUUAUUUGGUACUUUGUGAUCUGAAUAGGUAGGCAGUAAUAGCAUGACUAUGACUAUAAACCUCAUCAACUGUGACAUCAUAGUUUUCAAGGUCAAAGGAAUUGGCAAUGAAAUUGGGACACUGACUACCAGUUUCCCAGUACUGAACCCAUAUCUUAUUCACUUCCAGCAAGGGGUGGCUUCUCAGGAAGCCCAAAUAUAGAAAAAAAUUCCAAUACCAAGGAAACAGGUGAAUAAAUUUUGAUAUACUCAUUGAAAUAUUGCACAUUAGAUGCAUAAACUACUACAACACAUGACAACAUAAAGAAAUGUUUCUGCCACAGUAUUCAAUGAACAAUGUGAUGAACAAAAGAGCACGUACUCAAUGAUUCCAUUUCUGUGAAGCUCAUGAAUGUCCCGAACUCUUCUAAGCAGAAUGCACUCAGUGGAAGGAAUAUUGAAGCAAUAGGCUUGUUCUGUAACUACAUUAUUUCCCAUUUGAAUAUUUUGCAUGUGAUUUCCCUCCCCCAGCCCCAAGUGCCUGGUGGGCACCUGCUCAUCCUUUAACACUUAGCUCAGUGACGACAUUCAGAAAAGCUUCCUUUACCUACCACAGAGGACCUCUGGUAACUGGAUACCGGACACUAGUAACAUGUUUCCUCUGGAGAAAUGGAGUGGAUUUAUGAGCACAAUGGCUAGUAAAGAAUCCUACUGCUACUGGAUACUCUUGCUGAAUGGGUUACCAUUUAAAAUAGAACUUAGGACAAAAAAAUAAGUAAAGGCAACAGUUAGGAACCUGAGUUAGCAGUUUACCACAGUUUGGAAUAAAGGGAUAAAUGUUGGAUAACCUCCCACCCCCAGGAGCUUUCUCCCUCCCACCCACCACAACCCAGAGGGCACUAUUUCUUUCUAAAGAAGGCAAUAGCAAGUGAAGAGAGACUUCUUUUAAAAACUCUACAAUCUGGUCAGAGCAAGGCCCUUACUUCAUGAACAGAGCUGAUGAAAUGUAAAAUAUACAAAUAACAGAAUUGACUUUAUUACCCAGACUAAAACUUGACUGGACCAAAUGUCCCAAGAUGGAAACCCUUUUACUUGCUUUCUGGGGUCCCUCAGGCCUCUUCUGCGUGAUGAUAUCCCUCUAGAAGGAGAUAUGGAGAAUUAUUAUAAAACAUCAUGCUUUUCACCUUGAAAUCAAAGGAUUUGACUUUGGAAAGCUUGGAACAUUUUUACAAAACAGGAUCCAGAAUUGAUUAUGGAUAGCAUAAAUUUAAUGUUACCAUAAACUGAAAACCACAGCUAAGAUGCUGCAUUCUAGAAUCUUAAAAUCCUCCAGUCUACUCUUAAAUUGCUCUCAUAACAAAUGUGAACUGGUGAGAUAUUUAUGACACAUUCAAUCUGUACAUGACAUGAAAAUAAUACAUAGUUCUAAUUCUAUUCCAUUUACCCUCUAAUAAAUUAUAAGUAGGAAGAAACUGCAACGAAAGGAUGGAUCUCAAGUUUCACAAAAGGCUAUGGUUCAAGCCACAUUUCUAAUAUUUUGUAAUGUGAUAUUUAGCCCAUCACUAAAUUUUCUAAAUCUUAACUUCAUCCUUCACUGUAAAGCAGAUUUUUUUUGAGAAUUGCCAAAAUUUGCAGUCGAAAAGCAUCAAAUAUACAGUUAGUGUUCAAUAAAAUCUUUCAUGUCCUUUGUGUUUUUUUCCUUAUGGUAUAUUAUUAGUAUGGCUUACAGAAAUCAUAAAACUAUUACCUCUCACGUCUCCAACAAAGCAGCAGAACACGAAUCAGUUAAAGAGUCAAUAUGAUGUAGUUGUUGAACUUUAGUAUAGAAAAAGCCACAAAUAAAAUAUUCUCAGUUACUUUGGGAGAAUUUACCUGUCUUUAUGAGUUCUGAUUUUGUUUAUAAGAGUGAUAAUAAGUCAUCUCUUUUUGUUUUGGACUAAAUAUCCGUGUUUCCUCAAAAGUCAUAUGUUGAAAUCCUGACUGACCGAUGGGAUGGUAUGGGGAAGUAGAGCAUGUUGGAGACAAUUCAGUGAUGAAGGUAUAGACCUCUUGUUGGGAUCAGUGCCAUUUUUAAAGAGCCUUGGAGAGCUCUGUACCCCUUAGCCCUCCCUCUGCCAUGUAAGGACACAAUGAGAAAUCGGCAGUGGAAACCUGAAGGGGGCCUUCACCAGAACAAGACAAGCUGGCAUCCUGAUUUCAGACCUCCCACCUCCAGAACUGCAAGAAAUUAAUGCCUCUUGCUGAUGAGCCGCCUGGGCUCAGUGCAUUGUUUUGUGUCCAGACUGGCUGAGACACCUUCUUACAGGCAAUGUAAGGAUUCGUGUAGCAACUGCUUAGGAUCCUCCUUAAUUGGAGUAGUCACUGAAAAAGCAAUUGCUUUACUUCUUCAUUCCUUUAAAAAUAAGUACAUUUUCUAUUUUCAAAUAUAACUUUCUGAAAUUUGUUGAGAUAAUUGGAGAAAAUCAUCAGAAGAAGGAACAUAAAACAAAAGGACAAGCACUAAGCUGUAGUGUGCAUUCCUUGAUUCUGUUUUCCAAACCAGGAGCACCAUCAGCAAACCCUCCUGUGGACCCAGCUGCACUUGGCAACUUGUCAGUUGUCAAAUGUCACCUUGACAGUCCUCCCGGCCCUCAGGGCUUUGUGGAUUCCAGGUAAGAUGUGGUUUUCCCCAUUCUUUUUGUCUAGUUGACUUCUUCAAAACAUAGACCUCUCUCUGAUUUGACCCCUUUAAUUGAUCUGGGCUUCAGGCCAGCUCCCCAGUGCUUUCUGACUAACCCAGCAACUCAGGCCUUGGAAUCUACAGCAGGUAAGGCCCUAGGCAUGUACGCUAGAAAACGUGUUCACAGUCAGAGCUAAGCUGUAUACCCUCAAAAAUGUCCAUGUUGGAAUCCUGACACCCAGGAACCUCAGAAUGUCAUUUUAUUUGGGAAUAGGGAUGUUACAGAUAGAAUUUUUUAAGAUGAGAUCAUACUGGAUAAAGGUGAAUUUUAAUCUUAGCUUGGGCCACUGGAACACAUUAUCACAGAAUGAAUAGCGAUAUUUUUUUUUCUGAAGAAAAUAAAGUUUUAAUUUUAUUUUAAAAAGAUAUUAUACUACUGUCCCUUGAGUCUUUACUAUGUAGAGAUGAAUUAUAUUAAAUAGAUUUAUUUUCUUUUUUUUUUAAUUUUUUUUAAUUUUUUAUUGUUGGCUGUUCAAAACAUUACAUAGUUCUUGAUAUAUCAUAUUUCACACUUUGAUUCAAGUGGGUUAUGAGCUCCCAUUUUUACCCCAUAUACAGAUUGCAGAAUUACAUCAGUUACACAUCCAUUGAUUUACAUAUUGCCAUACUACUGUCUGUUGUGUUCUGCUGCCUUUCCUAUCCUCUACUAGCCCCNCCAAGAAAUCUCCAUACUGCUUUCCAAAUUGGCUGCACCAAUUUGCAGUCCCACCAGCAAUGUACAAGUGUACCCUUUUCCCCACAUCCUCGCCAGCACUUGUUGUUGUUUGACUUCAUAAUGGCUGCCAAUCUAACUGGAGUGAGAUGGUAUCUUAGGGUGAUUUCUCUCAGCUCUGGAGAUUGGAAAGUCCAAGAUCAAGUUGGCAGCGGGUCAGAUGUCUGGUAAUGGGCUGCUUCCUGCUUCACAAAUACUGGCUUUCCCUUUGUCUUCUCACUCAGAGGAGCACAAAGACAGGGAAAAGGCUCUUCUAACUCUCCUUACGAGGUUGCCAAUCCCAUUCAUAAGGGCUCCACCCAUAUAUCCUAAUUACUUCCCAAAAUAGGAGUGAGGGAGUUAGGAUUUCUAUGCACAUUCUGGAGUAGCACAGACAUUUAGGCCAUAUCAACACUUACCUAACAACAACAGUAAGAAUCACCACACAAUGAGAGAGGAGUACAGGGGAAGAGAACACUAUGGAUAUGCUUGGUGUCAUGCUGCCUGCAGCCAGCCACUAUCAGAAACUAGGAGAAACUUGGAACAAAUCCUUCCCCAGGGUUUCAGCAGAAUCAUGGCCCAAAUGACACAUGGAUUUCAAACUUUCUGACUUCCAGAAUUGUGACAUGAUAAGUUUUUAUUGUUUUAAGCCACCCAGUUCCAUAUCACCUUGUUGUGGAAGCCCUAGCAAACCCAAACUGGCUGAUAAUCAAUAUGUUCUUUUAUAGCCACCAGUUGUCCAGAUUAUUGAUUUUUCUGAUUGGUACAUAGAUGGUGCAUCACUAUUCUGAGUCCUCCAGACAACUCUGGCCUCCCUGCCCACUCAGACUCUUGGGAUGCCUGGACUUUGCCUAUGAUACAAAAUUAAAGCCAACUACAUCUUUAAAGCUACAACCACCUACUCAGACUGGAUUCCCUGUUUCCUGCAAGAAAGUUUGAAGAACAUACCCAUUCUCCUCAACCUACUGUUAUCUCACUGCUUCUUAUGAUCACACUAUUUUCACAUGGUAAAUAUUUACCACCUAGUUCUCCAGCGAAGAAGGCAAAUUAUUUGUUACAUUUGGAGACUGGGAAAUCUGUACCCCUUAGCCCUCUCUCCACCAUGUAAGCAAAUCCUCUGCCUGGUGAUCUGCUUUCUGGGUUUCAGGUGGCUGCCUAAUGAAAAACCGUCAUCCCUACAGGCCUAAAAUAAUACCGGUCGAGGGGGAACAAAUGCAAACUACAGUUUUAAUAUGGACCCUGACUUCCCAAGGAGAUUAUGUUUCAGAACCUGUAUUUGUGCAUUUCAGUUACCAUGGAUACAAGCAGCCAUGUGGGUAAGUAGCUAGCUGUUAGGUAGUAGUCAGAGGAGACCUAUGAUUACCCUAGAUCUCAGCUGAUUCAAGGAAUAAUAAGAUAUCCUCUAUCUGAUACUCAACUAUUCAAGGUAACAUCCAGAGUAGUUUACUUUAUUCCAAUAACACUAUUAAGUCACAUUUGUUGCAUUAAUGAAUGAAUUGUUUAUUUAAUGGAUAUGUACUGAGGGUCUGAGUGUGAGCGUAUGGUACACAAUCAGGAAGGGAUAUCAAAGUACACAAAACAAUCAGGAAGGGAAGUCAAAGUCAAAUAUAUAUAUAGCUUUAUUCUCCAAGGAUCUCAUUCUAGUUCAGAAGGCAGGUAUCCAUUAUGGUAAAUUUUAAAAGAGAUAAAUUUUCUAAACUACAAAAGGAACCAUUCUUGGUAGAACAGAAUCAAGAUGGAAAAGGCUACACAAAACGAAGUGGGUGGAAGCUGAGUCCUAAAUGGUGGGUGGGCUUGGGAGGGUGGGCUUUGAAGAUAAAGAGCACCGUUAGCAUUGAAAGAAGGGGGCAUGGAAAAUACAGAGUCAUGAAACAUCACGAACGCUAGGAGACUGCUAAGAAUAAUUCUCUUUCAAACAGACAGUUCUGGCAUUAUGGAAAGUACUAACGAAUAAAGCCUCCAGAGUUUGAGAAUCUUAGUCAUAGGAACAGGGUCAAAAUCUGGAAAGAGCUCCUCAGCAUGGGAGCAAACUAUGACAAAAUCCACAACUCCACAUCUUUAGAAAUAGUGACAUCAUUGUCAGAGCAAAAACCUAGCAAGUUAAACAUUUCAAAUGACAUUAAGUUUACUCAUUUCACAAACAGAUUUCAAUAGUCUUUGGAGGACACCCCAGAAGAAUAAAUAUCAACUGAGAAUGAGAAAACAACUACUCCCCCCAAAAAUACCACAUCCAGUUACUAGAGCACUCUGAGAAAAUGUGCACAUAUACGGUCCCUCCACAAUGUCCCUCUAGUCACUGAAAUCAGCCAAGGUUUCUAGUCUACUGUUUGUAAAGGUAAUGACACUAGAAAGCAUCUCUUCAAAACCCUUACGUAUCAAAAGCUGUCUUCAUCAAGUUGAUAGUUUCUGCUCAUUUAAAAAUUUUGUUCAUGGAAUUAUCUAUUUCUAAAAGCCCAAGUGGAAAACAAGAUAUCUAUGUAUUUUCACUUUGCUGGUGGUUAAUUAAACAGAUGGUGACUUCCUUAUCCUGUGACACUUCUGUAUGAUGAACAAGAUAAAUAAGUUAAUCAGAACACAGUUUGUAUAAUUAAAAUACAUAUGUUAUUUAGACAUAAGGAGCAGAAACAUUAUUAUAAUAGGCUUCAAACUGAAAAUCAAAUGAAGAUAUUAAGUAGAAUUACAAAAGAGUUGAAACAUGUCCAGAAACUCCGAUAAUUUUCCAAAGCUGACAAACAAUGGCCAAUAGGUAUAUAUAGAAAGGUACUCAACAUCAAUAGUCAUCAGGAAAUGCGAAUCAAAACCACAGUGAGAUAUUACCUCACACCUGUUAGGAUCUAUCAGCAAAAAGACAAGUGAUGACAAGUGUCAGGUACAGGGGAGAGAAAGGGAGAUCUUGUCCACUCCUGGUGGCACCGCAAACUGAUCCAGUCAUUAUGGGAAACAGUGUAGAGAUGCCUCAGAAAAUGAGAACUAGAACCCUAUGACUCGGGACAUGUAUUCUGAGUACAUAUCCAAAGGAUCCAAAGGAAAUGAAACCCGUACCUUAAAGAGCUAUGUGCACGCCCAUGUUCAUUGCAACAUGAUUCCCAAUAGAUAAGACAGAAAGAAUCUGAGCAUCCAUCAACAGAUAGAUCAAUAAUGAAAUUACUAUGUUAAAUAUUAUUCAGUGCUAAAUAUUAUUCAGCCUAAAAAAGAAGGAGAUUCUGCUAUUAGUGAUAACAUAGACAUACUUAAAGGAAAUUAUGCUAAGUGAAAUGAACAGGAAGACAGAUCACAUGAUAUCAUUAAUAUGGAAUUUUAAAAGGUCUAACUUAGAAAAAUUGAGUACAAUGGUGUUUGCCAGAUAACAGAAGGAGUGGUAGAUUUGGGAAGAUCUGUAAAAGGGUAAAACCCCUCAGUUAUAACAUGAAUAAGUUCCAGAUAUCUAUAGUGCAACAGGGUAACUUCAGCUAAUAAUAGUGUCUUUCAUACCUGAAAUCUGGGGAGACAGUAAAUCUUAAGUAUCACAAUACCUACAAAAAAUGACAAGUGAAGUACUGAAUUUGUUAAGUCACUUGAUUGUGCAAAUCAUUAUACAAGAAUACUUAUGUCAAAACACCAUGUAGUACACCUUAAAUAUAUACAAGUUUCGAUUUGUCGAUCAUACCUCAAUAAAGCUGGAGAAAACAAAAAUCAAAUAAAAUACUGGAAGGAGUCUGUUCUUGUAAGAAUGGGGGCCAUGAGUCUCACUAAUGGAAGAUUUUGAUAGUCCUUAUACAUUUCUGCAAAGACACAGAAAAGCAUCAAUAUAUGCAAUUUAAAUCUUCUGUACAACAAAUCCAUCACAUCAUCUGCUUUACCGCAAAGAAAAAUAAAGCUGCAUCUGAACUCUACUUUCUAUUACAUUUUAACACAUCUGAGAGCUUGUCUUACUCUGAAGCACUGUUUAAUCUCUAGAAAUUGAUUUAUCUAUCUGGCUUUCAGAAACCCACUCACCUUUGAAAUUCAAAUGAAGCACGCCUGUAUAAAUGCAUGAGCUUCUUUCUACAAAUCUUCUCUUUUUGCCGGGUGUCUUGAGAGAGCAGAGGGGACACCUGGGAAGCCUAUUGCUUUGCUUUUGCCCUCCCCAUUUCACGGGGUUUUGGUAAGAUUAGAAAUCACAUGUUAAGUGUUGGCACAUAUAAAUGGUCAAUAAAGCUGCUACUGUGAUGUUAGCACUUUGGAGCUGCACCUUGAAUUGUGUUUCUACAGAAGAAAAUGAUUAAAGAAAAUUUUUGAUUUAAAAAUAAGUACACAGCUCUUCUUCCAUUAAAAACCUGACUUUCUUCUCAAGUUACAAAUAAUGCCCUCAUCGAUUUUUGGUUUCUGCAAUGAUAAGAUUUUAUGCUUAGAAAAGGAUUUAUUGUAAGGCUUAGUCUUCUAGAGCUCUUACUGGCACAGGUCCCUUAUGGCUCUGAAAUAGGAAAACAAUGCAUUUCAUAAAGUUUGCUGAAUGAAUGUGUUUUAGCAGCAGAGAGUUAAGAUCAUUGACUUCUGUCUUUAUCUCUGUCCCCCAUGUCACAUAUGGAGUAGGAAAUUAAAUUUGAAAUACAUUUAGUUUGCUUUUAGAGAAGCAAACUUGAUGUUCCCAAUUGCUUCUGUGCAUGGUCACAACAGGUUACUGUUAUCUAAGGAAUGGAUUCCAGGGAUACAAUGCCAACUGGCCCCAUGUCUUGACUUGAAGGUAGAGGGCAGAGUUUGUAUAACAGAAUUAAAUGGAAAUGAAGGAGAGGCAAAGGUUGAAAUUUACAGAGGUGGAAGUUUGACAGCAGAACAUUUUCCCAAAUCUUAUCUCUUAUGGAUAAAAAUGCAUGAGAGGAAUUGUCCUAAAUUUAACAAUGAUCUAAAAAAUUGAAAUGCAUUAUUAAAAUUAUUAAAUUAAUAAAAUUAUUAGAGAUCUAUAAUUUUUAAACUCAGUUAACUAUUUAACUGAAAAAUGAAUAUGAUUUUUAUUCUUUCUAUAGAUAACAUUCUAAGAUAGUAUCAUAAGAAAGGAUAAUCAAAUAGUACUUACCUAUAUGAAGAAAGGAAAAAUAAAACAGAGGUAGGUAGUUAAUAACAAAUAUGAUAGACCUCAACUUUAAACCUUUGUACUGUCAUCUGUAGUUUUCAUUCUGAAUUAAUAUUCAUUUUAUCUCUUACUUUACAUGUCUCUUGCAAGGAAGAUCUCACAAAAUAGAUAAGCUUCAAACCAUAAAAAUCUGUAUCGGCCAAUCCCUGACCCCACAUUCACUAAGAUCUGGAAAUGUCUGUGUAUACACAGCCUUGGGCAGGCAGUUCAGUUGGCUUUUAACUAUCCUCCCCACCUCCAGCAUCUAUCAGUAGAGAAAGGGAACCAGGAAUAAAAUGGAGGUUAAAUGUCACUUUUGUUAAUGGCAAUAACUCUUUAAUUAGAGGGCUUUGAAGCAUGGAAUUAAGACCUGGAGCCAACCUGGGCUUCCGGUCUUUUCCCUCAUGGGAGGCAACAUGAUUUACUGACCAGUGACAAUUAGAGUGUAUGGGAAAGAGCGGGACUCUUUCCCAAACCAAAGAGCCUAUUCCAUGGUUUUAUUUUCAUGCAAAGUGGAAACCCAUUGCUAUGGUUUAAAUAUCUCUGAGGCUCCAUGUGCUGAAACUCAAUUCCCACUGUGACAUAUUAAGAAGGUAGAAACAACCCGAUCCCAGAGUUCAUAAAGGGAAUAUGUGGGGGGGAGGGAUUGGGAUUUGAUAACAUCACUAGGUGUAGCCCCCAUGACUGUAUCCUGAUGGCUAUGUAGAAGGAGAGAGAAAGAGAGCAGAAGAGACACAUGUGCAACCCAUGAAUGCCCUCUGUCUCACCUUGGCUGUCUGCCAGCAGGAAGGCUGUCCCAGACGCAGCCCCUCAACCUUCAACCUUCAGAGUUGUGAGACCAAAUAAGCCUCUUUUUGUUAAAACUUACCCAGUCUGGGCCAUUCUAUUAUUAGUGACAGAAAAUAAACUAAUAUUUCCAUCUAUCCAAAGCAUCUGGGCACACAGAGUUCAAAGAUUUCAAAAAAGUAAUAGGGAAUCCACCACCACAGUGUCUUCUAAAUUAAAUCACACUGGGAUGGAAGAGGGGAUGGAGAAGAAGGAGCAAAUGUUUCUUCAAAUAUCCUUCUCCCUGAGUGUUCCUUCCUAUAGAAAAUGAGCAAAGAGUAAUGGCAGUAAAAGAUUUCUCACUGUCAAAGGGUCCUGAGUCUGAUUUAAAUAAAAUACCCAUUUUUAAAAAAUUGAUAGCCAAACACAGUAAAAGCUAAUAAGUAUAUUGACCUUACAGAUGACAUGUAUAUAUUAACUGUUAACCUAACUUCUUAGAGGCCUUCUUAAUCUUAGAAUAAACAUAUACAUUCUUUGGCCUUAUGAAAAUUUCCCCAAAGCCAAUAAUAAAUCAAUUGCUAUAAAGCAAUUAUUUUUCAAUAAAUGAAUAACCUAGAACUGCCACUAAGAUUCAGUUUGCUUCAGUGAAUCAUACAAUUCCAGGAAAUUGAUUUGUGCAAUUUUUCGUUGUGUGUGUGUGGCGGGGGAGGAGUAUAUAUUUGUAGUAUGAAAAGGAGCAUAUUUUGAUGUAUUUGAAACUAUCACGAAGGAGAAAUAACCUACAACUUGUAAGCAAGAAGACUAUAAGAUUUUAACUACAUUCUCCCUGGACUUUCACAGAUGCAACCACCAAAAAAAAAAAAAGCCCAGAACUCAUCCAGUUCAAGUCUGUAGUAUGGCUCAAGAUUGGACUCUUAAGGUAAAAUUUCCCAAAGAACACCUUUUCUCAGUUCCAGUAUCUGAUAAAAUAAUUUUCCACUGUCAAAUAAUUUUAGAAAAUUCUGCAGAUAUUGAUAUUUUCAUGUGCAUUAGCAUAAAGUAGGCUCUACAACAUAAUGCAGUAUAUAGUACUAUUUUUACCUUUGUAGCUCACUGUAAAAACCUUUAAGCAUAGUGUCUCUGACAUGUAAAUGCUCCUUGAAGGCAACUUGUGAAAGGUUCAAAGAAGUUCUUAAGAAGAGACCUACAGCACAGUGCCAGCAGUUAGCCCUGUCAGGACUCUGAUGCCAGAUGUCCUCUUAUAAUGUGGUGACUCUGUUGUUUGGAGCUCUGUAGUGAACAGGCACACCAGAAUCCUUUAAGGUAGAAUGUGAUACAGAGGAUGAGGAGGAUGAAUGGGGCUUAAGGUGUGAUGCUUUUUAAUAAAACUUUUAUCAAUAAAGAAUAAAAAUCUAUUUGUUUGGGUUGGGAUUGUGGCUCAGCGGUAUAGUGCUCACCUAGCAUUUGCAAGGCACUGGGUUCAAUCCUCAGCACCACAUAAUUAAUUAAUUAAAUAAAAAUAUUGUGUCCAGCUACAACUUUUACACACACACACACACACACAGAAAGAGAGAGAAAAAUUUUAAAAAUCUAUUUGUUCAAGUAGAGUCAGAAAAUCAAGUAGAGUCAGAAAUUCAUUCACUAUAAAUAGAAGCUCGGUACCAUGAUACUGUGUAGGAAAAGAUGGUGGCAAGUUUGAAGCUUGUUCUAAAAGGACUUAGGUUUGGUUGGGGAAAUAACACAAAUACAUAUAAUUAAAAACAAAAGGCAUUCUAAGUAAAUUUAAAAAUAAGGUAGAGGACUGCUCUGCCAACCAGUAGACCUAUACCAGACCCCAGUCCCAUGCUAGGACCACGCUGCCCAACCGCAUGAGAGCCAAGGUCCAGGUCCUAGCCCAGGAUCACCCAUGCCCACCAGCAGACCCACGACAGAACCCAAGCCUAUUCCACCUCUAUCUUGGGACCCUGCAACCAUUGCCAUAGCCCUCCCCACACAGUAGCCUUCACCUCGGGAAAACAGAUAGGGCAUCUCGGAACAGGCAGCCCAAAGCCAUUGUAAGGUCUACCCUUUCAGCCCCAUCUCUGAAAGUGGUUGCAUACAUCUUGGGACACCCCCACUACUAUUUUCAGUUAUCUUCGCUAUUGCCACCACCACCUUUAGUUGCAGUAACACUUAUCAUGGGACACCAAAGUAAGGUACAGGUGAUCUGCAGGAACACUGUAAGAUUAUACAAUAGAAACUGUUAUACCUCAUAUCUGCACUGCAAGAAAGGAAGACAUGUAGACAACAUGAGUAAAUAAGGGAGGAAAGUGCCCUAAGCAAACCAAGAUACUACAAUAAUAUAAUCCAUGAAUAAAUAGCACAGUUGGUAAAAUGUUAGAGAAGGAGUUCAGAAUGCACAUAAUUCAAAUGAUCUAUGAAUUAAAGAAUGACCUAUGUGAGCAAAUACAGGCAAAAAUUGAUCACUGCAACAAACAGCUAAGAGAACACAUACAGGCAACCAUUGAUCAUACUAACAAAGAGUUAAAGGAGCAAAUACAGGUAGCAAAAGACUAUUUCAAGAAGGAGACAGAUAUUCUGAAAAAAUAAAAAACCAAUCAGAAAUUCUUGAAAUGGAAGAAACAAUAAACAAAAUAAAAAACUCAAUAGGAAGCAUCACCAACAGACUAGAUCACUUGGAAGACAGAACAUCAAAUAAUGAAGACAAAAUAUACAAUCUUGAAAAUAAAGUUGAUCAUACAAUGAAGAUGGUAAUAAACCAUGAACAGAAUGUCCAAGAAUUAUGGGAUAACAUCAAAAGACCAAAUUUAAGAUUUAUUGUGUAGAGGAAGGCUCACAGGUUCAAACCAAAGGAAUGCACAAUCUCUUCAAUAAAAUAAUAUCAAAAAAUUUCCCAAGCAUAAGGAAUGAAUAGGAAAAUCAAUUACAAGAGGCUUAGAGGACACCAAAUGUAAAAAAUUACAACAGAUCUACACUUAGACACAUUAUAAUGAAAACGCCUAGCAUACAGAAUAAAGAUAGAAUUUUUAAAGCCACAAGAGAAAGGAAUCAAAUCACAUAUAGGGGGAAACCAAUUAGGUUAUCUGCAGAGUUUUCAACCCAGACCCUGAGAGCUAGAAAAUCCUGGAACAACAUAUACCAAGCUCUGAAAGAAAAUGGAUGCCAACCAAGAAUCAUAUAUCCAGCAAAAUUAAGCUUUAGGUUUGAUGAUGAAAUAAAAACUUUCCAUGAUAAGCAAAAGUUAAAACAAUUUACAACUAGAAAGCCUGCCCUAAAGAACAUCUUCAGCAAAAUAUUCCUAGAGAAGAAAAUAAAAAGCAAUAAUGAAAAUCAGCAAAAAGAGGUAUUACACUGAAGAAAAAACCAAUAAAAGAAGAAACCAACUCAAGUUAAAUACCAAAAAUAAACAAAAAUGGCUAGGAAUACAAAUCAUGUCUCAACAAUAACCCUAAAUGUUAGUGGCCUAAACUCAUCAAUCAGAAGACAUAUACCAGCAGAUUGGAUUAAAAAAAAAACCCAACAAUAUGCUGCCUUCAAGAGACUCAUUUCAUAGGAAAAGACAUCCACAGACUGAAGGUGAAAGGUUGGGAAAAAAUAUACCACUCACAUGAGCUGUAGAAGAAAGCAGGUCUUUCCAUCCUCAUAUCAAAUAAAGUAGGCUUCAAGCUAAAGUUAAUAAAAAAGGAUAAAGAAUGACAUUUCAUACUGUUUAAGGAAACCACACACCAAGACAUAACAAUUACAAAUUUGUAUGUCCCUAAAAUGGAGUAUCUACAUUCAUCAAACAAACUCUUCUCAAGUUCAAGAGUCAAAUAGAUGACAGCAAAAUAAUUCUGGGUGUCUUUAACACAUCUCUUUCACCACUGGAUAGAUCUUCCAAAGGAAAGUAAACAAAGAAACUAUAGAACUCAAUAAUACAAUCAAUAACUUAAACAUAUAUAGAAUAUUUCAUGCAACAAUGAGUGAAUACACUUUCUUCUCAGCCGUACAUGGAUCCUUCUCUAAAAUAGACCAUAUAUUAUUCCACAAAGCAACUCUUAGCAAAUAUAGAAAGUAGAGAUACUACCCUGUAUUCCAUCAGAUUACAGUGGAAUAAAAUUAGAAAUCAAUGGUAAAAUAAAAAAAUAGAAGCAACUCCAACACAUGGAGACUAAAUAAUAUGCUGUUGAAUGAACAAUGGGAUGCAAAAGAUGUCAAAGAACAGAUUAAAAAAUUCUUAGAGGUAAAUGAGAACACCAAUAAAACAGAUCAAAAAUCUCUGGGACACUAUAAAGGCAGUACUAAGAGGAAAGUUCAUUGCAAGUAGUUCAUUCCUUAAAACAAGAAAAAACAAAACAAAUAAAUGACCUUACACUACAUCUCAAAGCCCUACAAAAAGAGAAAAACAAAUCAACACCAAAAAUAGAAGGUAGGAAAUAAUUAAAAUCAGAGGUAAAAUCAAUAGAAUUGAAACAAAAGAAACAAUUUUAAAAAUUGACAAACAAAAAGUUGGUUCUUCGAAAAAAUAAAUAAAAUUGAUAAACCCUUAGCCAGGCUAAUGAAGAAAAGGAGAAAGAAAACUCAAACUACUAACAUCUGUGAUGAAAAAGGAAGUAUCACAGCAGACAGUACAGAAAUACAGAAGACAAUUAGAAACUAUUUUGAAAAUCUGUACUCCAGUAAAAUAGAAAAUAUCAAAGGCAUCAUCAAACUUCUAGAGUCAUAUGAUUUGCCCAAACGGAAUCAGGAUGAUAUACACAAGUUAAACAGAUCAAUUUUCAUUGAAAUAGAAGAUGUCAUCAGAAGCCUACCAACCAAGAAAAGCCCAGGACCAGAUGGAUACACAGUUGAGUUCCACAAGACCUUCAAGGAAGAACUAACACCAAUACUCCUCAAAUUAUUUCAUGAAAUAGAAAAAGAGGGAACACUUCCAAACUCAUUCUAUGAAGCCAGUAUCACCCUGAUUCCAAAACCAAAGACACAUCAAAGAAAGAAAAUUACAGACCAAUAUCUCUAAUGAACAUAGAUGCAAAAAUUUUAAAUAAAUUUCUGGCUAAUUGAAUUCAAAAACAUAUUAAAAAGAUAGUGCACCAUGAUCAAGUGGGAUUCAUCCCAGGGAUGUAAGGUUGGCUCAACAUAUGGCAAUCAAUAAAUGUAGUUCAUCACAUCAAUAGACUUAAACAUAAAAAUCAUAUGAUCAUCUCAAUAGAUGCAGAAAAAACAUUAAAUAAAUACAGCAUCCCUUUAUGUUAAAAACAUUAAAAAAAAAUAGGGAUAACAGGAACAUUUCAACAUUGAAAAAACUAUUUAUGCUAAGCCCCAGACCAAUAUCAUUCUAAAUGGAGAAAAAUUGAAAGCAUUCCCUCUAAAAACUGGAACAAGACAGAGAUGUCCUCUUUCACUACUUCUAUUUAACAUAGUUCUUGAAACUCUAGCCAGAGCAAUUAGAAAGAAGAAAGAAAUUAAACGCAUACAGGUCGGAAAAGAAAAAUUCAAACUAUCACUAUUUGAUGACAGCAUGAUUCUAUACCUAGAAGAUCCAAAAAAUUCCACCAGAAAACUUCUAGAACUAAUAAAUGAAUUUAGCAAAGCAGCAAUUACAUUUCUAUCCAUAAGUGAUGAAUCCACUGAAAGAGAAAUUAAGAAAAGUACCUCAUUCAAAAUAGCCUCAAAAAAUAUAAAAUACUUGGGAAUCAAUCUAACAAAAGAGGUGAAAGACCCCUACAACAAAAACUACAGAACACUAAAGAAGGAAGUUGAAGAAGACCUUAGAAGAUGAAAAGAUCUCCCAUGCUCUUGGAUAGGCAGAAUUAAUACUGUCAAAAUGGCCAAACUACCAAAAGCACUAUAGAGACUUAAUGCAAUCCCAAUCAAAAUCCCAAUGACAUUCCUCACUGAAAUAGAAAAAGUACUCAUGAAAGUCAUCUGGAAAAGUAAGAGACACAGAAUAGCUAAAGCAAUCCUUAGCAACCAGACCUUAAACUAUACUACAGAGCAAGAGUAACAAAAAUGGCAUGGUAUUGGCACCAAAAUAGACUUGUAGACCAAUGGUACAAAAUGGAGGACACAGAGACAAACCCACAUAAAUACAGUUAUCUCAAACUAGACAAAGGCGCCAAAAACAUACAUUUGGAGAAAAGAUAGCCUUUUCAACAAAUGGUGCUGAGAAACUGUAAAUCCAUAUGCAGCAAAAUGAAAUUAAAUCCCUACUUCUCACAAAAUUCAACUCAAAGUGGAUCAAGGACCUAGGAAUUAAACCAGACACCCUGCGUUUAAUAGAAUCAAAAGUAGGCCCAAAUCUUCAUCAUGUCGAAUUAGGUCCUGACUUCCUUAGUAAAACUCCUAUAGCUCAAGAAAUAAAAUCAAGAAUCAAUAAAUGAAUUGGAUUCAAAUUUAAAAUCGUCUUCUCAGCAAAAGAAACAAUCAGUGAGGUGAAUAGAGAGCCUACAGAAUGGGACCAAAUUUUUACCACUCACACAUCAGAUGGAGCACUAAUCUCUAGGGCAUAUAAAGAACACAAAAACCUUAACCCCCCCCCCCCAAAAAAAAAAAAAACAACGAAAAAAACAAAACAAAACAAAAAAACAACCCAAUCAGUAAAUGUGCCAAGGAACUGAACAGACCAUCUCUCAGAAGAGGAUAUACAAUCAAUCAACAAAUAUGUGAAAAAAUGUUCAACAUCUCUAGCAAUUAGAGAAUUGCCAAUCAAAACUACUCUAAGAUUUCAUCUCACUCCAGUCAGAAUGGCAGUUAUUAAGAAUAAAAACAACAAUAAGUGCUGGCAAAAAAUGUGGGGAGAAAGGCAAAUUCAUAUAUUGCUGGUGGGACUGCAAAUUGGUGCACUCAAUAUGGAAAGCAGUAUGGAGAUUCUUUGGAAAACUGGGAAUGAAACCACCAUUUGAUCCAGCUAUCCCACUCCUUGGUUUAUACCCAAAGGACUUAAAAACAGUAUGCUACAGUAAUACAGCCACAUCAAUGUUUAUAGUAACACAAUUCACAAUAGCAAAAUUGUAUAACCAACCUAGAUGCCCUUCAGUAGAUGAAUGGAUAAAGAAAUGUGGUAUAUAUAUAUACACAAUGGAAUAUUAUUCAGCAUUAAAGGAGAAUAAAAUCAUGGCAUUUGCAAGUAAAUGGAUGGAGUUGGAGAAUAUUAUGCUACAUAAAGUAAACUAAUCCCCAAAAAACAAAUGCAGAAUAUUUUCUCUGAUAUGAGAAUGCUGAUUCAUAAUGGGGAUUGAGGGGUAGCAUGGGAGAAACGGAGGAACUUUAGAUAGGGCAAAGGGGAGGGAGGAAAAAGGAGGGGGCAUGAGGGUAGAAAAGAUGGUGGAAUUAGAUGGACAUCAUUAUCCUAAGUACUGUAUGAAGACAUGCAUGGUGUGACUCUGUGAACAACUAGAGACAUGGAAUUCAUAAUUGUGCUCUAUAUGUGUACUAUAAAUUGAAAUGCAUUCUAUUGUCAUGUAUAACAAAUUAGAAUAAAUAAAUAAAUACUUAAAAAUACAAAAAAAUUAUAAGGUAGAGUGUUGUAGCUAUUGGAAUUUGUAGGUAUUUCCCCAUGUGCAGUCAUGGUAAUUUAGGUCUUCUAAGGAUGAGUAAACUGAGAAUGGAUGAAUGGAGGGAUGGAUGGAUAGCUGGAAGGAUGGAUGGAUGGAUGGAUAGAUAGAUAAAACCGCAAAAUUCAGAAAUAACAAGAGCUAGAUAAGGAAAUGAUGGUAUAUCAGGAUAAUUGGAAUAAAAACACCACCAAUCAUACCUGAAAGGAAAGAAUUUCAAACAAGAUCUGCCAGGUCCUAAACACAACAAAAUUAAAAAGGCAAAAAAAAAAAAAAGAAUAAUUCUUAUUCUAAAAGCCCAAACACUUAGGAAAAUAGGCCCAGUUUUUUCAAUUCAUUAAGCAACUACAGUUUUGAGCCCUUGGGAAUUAAGUAGGUGUUGAGUAUAUCAUGUAAACAUACAUUUCCUUAGACACAGGAACUCAAACUAUGGAUGGGAGGAGGAGGAAAUGGACAUGUAUACAAACUAUUCCAAUAAAAAGACAGUGAUUUGAUCUUAAUAUAACUCAAACACAAAAUCUGUAGAGUACAAAGGAGUGAGUCUAAUUGACCGUGAUAUUCUGUAAAGAUUAUAUAAAGGAAAUGUUAUUUAGUCCAAGUGUUCAAGAAUGAAUAAGAGUAAAUGAGGCAGAGAACAAAGAAAAAAUUCCAGGAAGUUCAUAUCAAUAAGCAGAGGAGAGGUGAUAUGAGAAUGGAUGGGUGAGCAAAGAAUGCUAAACAGAGAUGGAGGCUCUAUGUGAUGCAAGUAGCCAUGGAUUAGCCUUAAAAAAUGCUCUGGGGAAAACUGUGAAGGACCUUGACUGCUAUAUUGACAAAGGAUUCAUGUAGAAGACCAUCGUGAUUAAGUCUAUUUUCGAAGAAAUAUUUUUAAAUCAUGCUCUCUGGGCUUUACAAAGUCCAUUCAAAACCAAUUCAUAGAGGAGAAAGGCAGAGGAAAAUAAAAGGGUCCUCAUCUUCAAAUUCCAAAUCCCCAAGUCAAUCUGAUCUGAGUAGCUCUGCUGUGAAUCUCACUAUGUAGGCUUCUGCUUGUUUAGGAUUUGGUUUAAAAAAAGACAUCCAUGACUCAAAAAAAAAAAAAAAAAAGGUUUUUAACUAUAGAUUUGGAAAUGUAACUCUGAUUGUUAAGGAGAUGUGUGAGAAAGACAGGGAUACUUCCAGCAGAUGCAAUAAUCCAGCCAAGAUAUGAUGAAAUUAUUAGAGAAAUCGGCACAAGUAGAAAUGUGGGAACCUCAAAAAAUAUCCCAGAGUAAUAAUAAGCAGAAACUGGCUCAUUCUGACUGUGAAAAUGAGGGCUGAGUGGAUAUAUAGUGAUGACUUCAAGGUUGAUGUUCAGGGGUAUGGGAAGAAAAUGGUAUCAUUCACUGAGAAAAACAUCAUAUGCUAAAAGGAAAAUAAGCAAUUGGACCUGUAUAAUUUUAUAUAAUCUGAUUUUAGUUUUAUGUCUUGCAACUGGAUAAAAAUAUAUGGUUGGAUGUCUCAGGAGACAGCCAUGGCCUGAGACUAUUGGCUAUUCAACUGCAGAAAAAUAGAGAUAAUCCCCCAGUGUAAGCCCCCAAAGAAAAAUUAUUAACAAUAAGAGAAAUAUUAAGAUUUUAAUAUUAUCUAGGUAUUUCAUUUAUCCUAGUAAACAUUCUAGUUUCAUAUGCAUCAUUUUAUUUGAAUUGCAUAAGAAUCCUAUGAGUAAAGAAUAUCACCGUUGUAGAGUAGAAUAAUGUAGCAAUUAAUAUCUAGAGCUGAAAUACCUAUAUUCAAAUCUUGGCUCAGCUGUUCACUGUUUUAUAUAAUUUGGGUCAAAUUAUUUAACCUCUCUGUAUUUCAAGUUCCUGAUAAUAAUCCCUAUGGCUAUGAUAAGAAGUGAAUUAAUGCAUAUAAAGUGUUCAUAAUGGUGCCUGGCACACAGCAAGUAUUCAAUAAAUAUGAGCAAUUACUUUUCACCUCACUUUGCAGAUCAUGAAAUGAAAGCUAAGUAAUAGAGACAUUAAAUAUCUACUAAAGGACACCCCUCUAAAUAAAUGGCCAGUGUUGUCAAUGCACACGCCCUCACUCAGCCUUUAUGUUAGCCUCAUCCAUGUGGAUGAGAGAAAAAUGUCAGGGCUGGAAACUUGAAAAAUGCCUAGUUAAGCAGACUAGUUUAUAAGACUGCAUGAUGAAAAAAUAAUGCAACUAAACUACUGCAAGAAAGGAGGAUGGAGUGGUCAAUGAUUUCAAAAACAUCUAAAAGUUUUUUUUUUUUUUUUUAAGUAAUAGGAAGAGGCUGCUAGAUUCAGCAAUCAGAAAUGUUCAGGAUCCAUUGAAGGGAUGCUUUAGGCAGCCCAUGUAGGGCAGACACCAAGCACAAACAUUUAAGAAUGGCUGCACAGGAGGGAAAUGAGAACAGUAGCUGUACAGGUAUAAAUGGAGAAAGAAUGGCAAACCAACAAGAAAACUAAAGGCAAUUUUUCAUAGAAUGGGGAAAUUUUAGCCAUUUUUUUAUGUAGAGAUAGCAACCACUGAUGAGAGAGAGGUUGAAGCUCUUAGGAAGGGGCUGAUCAAUGAACCAAGACCGAGGAGGAUGUAGGAGUCCAUUGGAAAGAGACCACAGUGGUACCUGUUAGCCUUAGAGGGAGGGAAAAAAAAGACUCAGUUUACUUCAAGUCAAGAGACUCCAUUUGUGUGAAGAAUGCUUGUAAGCACACAGAAAAGGGCUCUCUUGGGACCUGGAAGAAGAGUGAAAAUUUAUCCACAGGGGUAAGAGAGAGUUUGGCAGAAUGACUAUGCAGGCCCUGCUGAUGUCAGAGGAAAACAAGUGGUUAAACAACUUGAACAAGGAAAUGGACGAUGUAUAAAUCUCCCAUCCACAGAAUAAGCUAAGGGGAGUCAAGUGAUAUAAACAGCCCUCGCCAAUGGGAAUGGUGCUUUGGGUUUUCAGGUAUUCCAGAGAGCUCAAGCGCAUUUGCAUAAGGGACAGCACGAGAAUGUGGGCAAGUGGGUACACAAAGCAGGUCCCAGGAGGGCUUGUGGAGGUCACAGGUAUCACGGCAUCACUUCCAGACAUUCCAUUAAAGUCACAUCUACAGAACUGAGAUCCAAAUUCUGACUCUACCACUAACAACUUCACUGACUAACCUGGUGAAAAUGUGUUUCCUCCCUUUGGGUUUCAAUAUCCUUACCAAUAAAAUGAGACUAACCUAGAAACCCUCUAAUGGCCACUUCACUGUAAGAUUGCAUGAGUCUAUAUUAUAAAUAGUAACGUACACUGUCUUCCUUCUCCAUUUCCCAUGCCUAUAGGAAUCUGCUCCUAAGCUGACAUUAAAAGGAUGUAUUAGUUAGAGCUCUCAGGAUUCAGGCAAGCCUCGCUGACCCAAGGCAGGUGUGCAGCAAGGCUUCAAAAAGAGCUGCUUCAAUCUUAUCUCUCUCUGCAGCUUUCUCUGUUAUUUCAUCUCCAUGGAGAGAGAUGAAUUCACUGUGGUUCCAGAGGUUUAUGUGAUCACAUCGGAGGAUGCUGUAGAAUCUUUGCGUCCCUAUUCCAAUAGGCUCAGAUGGGUUUAGCAGUCUCUUCCAAUUCAGUUCACUCCAGACAAUUUCAUUAUAUAGGUGCAUAUACUUCUGGAGGCUCACAUCAUGCUUCAGGGAAAGUAGUCCCAAGCUGCGCAAAAAACACAAUGUUUGGUGGAAACAUUGUAAGUGUUUCUACCAAAUGGUCACCAACACAAGCAGUGUCAGAGGUGGCGGGUACAUUCUUGACUGUCUGUUCUCAGUGCCUCCUCUGCUAAUUUAGUCUUGAAAACAGAAAAUUGUUUUGUUGUGAUAGAAAAUAAGACAUACUAAAGAGCUACACAAACUCUCUUAUAGCUUCCCUAUUUUCCUAUAAGGUAGAGGGGGGCACACUCUUUCAGUCACCUGUGAUCUUCCUUUCUUCCAUUACCCCUUUCAAGGCAUGUAGGUGAGGCAUGUGACUGAGAGGCCUUGCACCUUUUUUUUCUUAAAGAGAGAGUGAGAGAGAGAGGGAGAGAGAGAGAAUUUUUUUAAUAUUUAUUUUUUUAGAUUUCGGUGGAUACAACAUCUUUGUUUGUAUGUGGUGCUGAGGAUCGAACCCGGGCCGCCCGCAUGCCAGGCGAGCGCACUACCGAUUAAGCCACAUCCCCAGCCCAAGGCCUUGCACCUUUAAUAAAUAUAUUGCUGGUCAAAUCUGGGCUUCUUACUACCCAAGGAGUCACACUUUGAGAUGAUACUCAGGAGGCAGAAUGAGGAACCAUUUUUGAAAUUGGAAUAAAUUGUCAAUAUAGUAUGACGUGGAGCCCAGAUUACAUGGUUCAUACUGUGGGGCUAGUGCUUGAAGAGCCCAACAGGACUCUUAGGGCAAUUCGUCACAUUGAUGACCAUAGAUACUCAAUAUUUUAAAAGUUGAAUCUGAUUUCAUGACAUGAUUUCAUGUGUUUGUCUUCCCCCAGCCUUAUUACCCUACCAAGAGAAAAGUAAGUCAAUUCCUAGUCUAAUGAUUUCAGUUCAUUAAUAAAUAUUGUUCCCAGUGGAUUUAGUGAAUUAUUUCACUUGUUUUACAUGCCUCCCUACCUAAAGUGGAAGCCCAGGCACAAGAAAAUGCCUUGUAAAUAGGUUUUCUCAUCAAUAGAUUGAAGUUCAAUCAUUGACAUAUCCAUUAAGCAAAUGUGAACUUACUUCAAAUUGAAAUUGCAAUCACAAAUUUCAUUCACUCUAAGAGGUAAAUGAAUUGAACUCAGAAAAGUACUGCACAUCAACACAAAUAAAUUAGAAAUGUUCAUUCAGAAUUGUUGGUUUGAAAAGUGAUGUGUGUUAAAAUAAAUUAACCAAAUUAAAACUGGAAGGAAGACAUGUUGAAAGAGCACAUCUGUUUUUCAGUGAAGUCAUGGUAAUCAGGAAAAGAAUCAUUGAUUUUCACAAAACAAAUAUUGCCUUAAAAGAGAGUAACAAUUCCAUUGUGGAUGACCACUGGAGAGCUUACACAGAAGAUAAGAUCGAUCCAUGCUACAUCAUUAUUGUGCUCUUUGUUAUUAAUAAAAAAAAUCAUGUAAAAGCAAGCCAUAGUCAAAAAGCAGCAUGAAACCACUUUGUUAAAAAGUCUCCAUUAUAAUCUCAAUACAAUGUAAGUUCACACUAAGUCACCUUUACGAAAGUCUAGAUUCCGAACUGUGUAAAAACCAUGUUAAAAUGUAGCUGACAUAUGCCUUAAAUAAUGAACAUUAGAAAUUAUUUAAUAGCAAAUACAAUAAUCAUGGCUUGCAAUGUGACGUUUUUUCUCCAUAUUGCUAUGACACUACUGAAGCAAAAGUCAAAUAUCUAGGAUCAUCAGAAUAUUAAUUCAUAUUUCAGUAAUGAAUAAGGAUUAAUCUUCCCAACGCACCAGUAACCAUAAAAUAGCCUGUUUAAAACAUUUUCAUGACCAAAAUGUGCAAAGUGGUGCACACCUAUAAUCCCCGUGGCUCAGGGGGAUGAGGCAGGAGGUGUUCAAGUUCAAGGCCCAGCCUGGGCAAUUUACCAAACUCCUGACACGAAAUAAAAAAUGAAAAGUGCUGGGGAUGCAUCCCAUUAGUAGAAUGCCCUGGGUUCAAUCUCUAGUACAGGAAAAAAAAAAAUGAAGAAAACCCCUCAGUUCUUGAUAACUUAGGAUAUGACUCUUUAAUUGUUUCUAUGUUUUUAUGACAUUCACAAUGUCUGUACAAGGUCAGAUAAAACUAAUUAGAUAAUACCUGGCCAAUAUGAUAUGAAUGCUACUCACCACAUGAAAAUCCCUCCAUUUUGACCCAUUUACACACUCCAACUCAACCGCCAUUCAAACUGGCCAGAAAGAAACUACCUUCAUGCUCUUUGGAAAUACAGGACUUUAAGUCUGUUAUGAGAAAGGAAAAAAAUGUGCAGUUGGAAGGCUCAGGUAAGCAUAUAAAAUAUAUUUUUUAAUACUUGGACAUAGGAGCAAAAAAUCAGUAAAAUAUCUUCUGUAGUGGGAUCUUCUCUCCUGCAUUAGUAACUUUUGGUAUAAGAAUCUGGAGUUAAGGGUCAGAUGAGGUUAACUUGCCCUCAGUGUCUAUAUGUCUAUCUAUAUUAUAUCCAGCUAGCUAGAAAUCUAAAUAAAAUGGUACCUGGAGGGAAUUCCUUAACCCAGAAUAGCAAACCACAAAUAAAAUAAAACUGCAGACAUCUUUUGAAGUCAGAAUAUAUACGUUUUACUAUGCAAUACAACAAAACUGGGCAUUUACUGUAUUUACUAUCAAAUUCUUCAUCACUAUGAAUCCAAUACCCAUACUUAGCUCAAAAAUUUAAAGAGAGAAAUCAACAGUUUGGGCCCAGGUAUAUUUUCUAAAAGAAUGUUUAAUUUUAUACUUGAAAAUUGAAAUGAAUGCCUAUUAUUUUUGUACACAAUCUAUGGGUUAUAAAGAUAAACAAAUAUCUUGGUUUCUGAAGCUUUCCUAAAGGAGGCCAUCAUUUCUUCUACCACAUCACCCAUAAAACUGCUGACCGCUCUCACGGAGCAGCCUGGAGCUGGCGAGCCAUGCUGAACCCUCCUGCGCCUCCUCCUGUGUCUGCACUGUCCUUGUUUGUCAGCUGCAUCAUCUGUGUUCUGCUCAGUUCCUACAGUCUUUGGAUGGGGAACAAGGAGAUUCCCCUUCUGGUUAGGAAACCCAAACGCCAUCAAGGUCAAUAAUGAAAGUCAAUCCUGACUCAGACAGCAACCUGACAGUCUCCGAGAAUAUGACUGCCCAGGGCAUCGUGCUUCAUCAGGCCCCUCUCUGAGACCACGUGGGCUGCAUGCCAACUGAGGAGAAAUGUCAGCACUUGUAAAAUAUAAGAAAGCUGAGCCCCAGGUAACUGGCUGGGGAUGUUUCUUCCUCAGAUGCUCACCUGAAACACCAGAGUCCAAGGACAGAGAUUGGUAGCAAUGUGUGCAAUGGUCCCUACUCUCCAACUGCCUCCUGUUCAGCUGGUUUGGAGCAACCCAGACACUCCAAGAUGGAAGAAGGGCUGACACAGAGGUAGAAACUUUCAUUCAGUGGUAGUGACUAAUUGGGUAAGGAUUAGAUAGGAUGAAAAUUUGAGUUGUUUUCAUGUCCACGUAGUUAAAAUCCUCUGUGACCUACUUCUCAGAUUUUGAUAAUCCCAACAUGUGGGUUGUAAUUAUGAAAAUCUGAAUUUAGCUUUUACGUAAAUCUUUGGCUGCACAACUUUUCUUAUAGUAGGAUUUUUUUCUAUUAAAUACUAAAAAUGCUAAGAGAUAGGUGUCAGCUCUCAUCACCACCACACAUUACCACUGUCAGUCAAAGCCACCAGAUCAGGUUUUGCCUGACCUGCUUUAGUUGAUAAUGAUGGCUGUGAAUUCAAAUCACGUUACAGUGUGGCUGAGUGCACUUGUCUCUAUAUUCCACAGUAGCACAUCUGAUCUGUGAGCAAAGGAAGGUACCAUGUCUGUUACUCAAUAAGUUAUUAUGAAAAUUAUUAAAUAAUGUGCAAAAUCUUUUGAUGAAUAACACCAAGAGGGUAAAACCCUCAGAGUAAAACAUCCCUAAUAAUUACACCUAAUAUGUUUCUGAUUUUUAAUGCUUCAUAUUAGUAAGUCCUUAGUGACAAUGUGUUAUAAAUAGAUGAACAGAUGGCAACCAUGUCAAGUUAGGUAUAAAAAUGAUUGAGAGCUGCUGGUGGUGUCGCUCAGUGGUAUAGUGCUUGCCUAGCAAUUGUGAGGCCCUAGGUUCAAUCCUCAGCCCACAUAAAAGUAAAUAAAUAAGUUAAAGGUAUUGUGUCCAACUACAACUAAAAAUAAACAUUAAAAAAUGUCCAAGAACUUGAAAAAAGAGAAACCAUGAUUGUUUUACGAAAGUGGGAUUCUGGGUGAGUUUUUCCUUCUUAAAAAUACCAUUCUGUAUUAUUAUUGAAGCAGUCAGUUUCAAUAAUAACCACAAUUUCAGUUGGCAUUGAAUUCAGUUCAUCGAAGAUUGAUGAGUGAGACUGUGCCUAUCCCUUAGAAACACACACAAACAUUUAAGCCAUGGUCAAUGUCCUUGAAAACCACAAUGUGCCUUAGAAAGUAGGGCACAUGCAUGAAAUGGAGAAGUUUCAAGCAGAUCAUGACUUAACACAAUGCUCAAAUGAGCAAGGUAGAGAAGUGCUGCAAGAAAAAGCCUCCGCUUGUGCUUCAGGAAAAUCUAUAGAGCCCUAAACACAUGAGAGUGAAGCAUUGGCUUUGCCUACUGCAGCAAUUAGAAGCCAGAGCUGAAAUCAAUGCGGCAGCCACUGGAGCAGUCUGCAGCUCUGAGGCUGCAGCUACUUACAGCCAUCGAUUUUCCCUGGCUUUGGGGCUUGGUUCACCUCACUCUUUCCACCUCGUCCCCCUGUGCCUCCCAGGUGUCAGGCACAGGUCACUGCUUCCAUGAAAAUUACCCAAGGAUCAUUAUUAGGCUGUAAAUCCACAAAGACCGUGGAAAGGGUCACAAACAGUUUCUAGCAACCACUAACUGUUGCUCCUAUGUCACUGCUUUUGCUGACACAUAACUCAUUCUUUCUUAGAGCAUUCAAGAAAUGGUUCUUCCUCUUAAUCCUGAAGUCCAAAUCUCCACAUUCAGGGUGGCUCCAAAUGACAUUUUCCCUUCAUCUCUUAUCACAGUAUCCUUUGUCUCAAAACUUCCUCCCAUAAGUUUAGUCCUAUCAGUCUUCUUGGCCUCCCCUGAGUAAUCUCCCUAUUCUCAGCCCACAGAGUUCCACUCAUGCCUUUCCUUCUCCCUCUAAGUCCUUUAAGACCUUGUUCAAGGGCUGCCUACCCAAGCCACCCAUCCACACUAGUCCUGUUCCUCUCUCCAACAGUCUACUCCACCCUCAUAGCAUAACAUUAAAUAUUUUCUUAAGUAUGUCUCACUUAAUUGAUUAUGAGUAUCCAGAAAAUCACUCACAUCGUGCCCAACACAGAGCCUUGCGUUGUGUACUAGGCAGCCAGAUGGAAAUGAGUCAAACUAAUGUGGCAUUGUGCAAAGAGCAAAGAUAACUUAUAUGAACAUGAGAAUUAUAGCACUAACAGGCACAGUCCAAAAUCCAAGGUGCUGGGCUGGGGAUGUGGCUCAAGUGGUAGCGCGCUCGCCUGGCAUGCGUGCAGCCCGGGUUCGAUCCUCAGCACCACAUACCAACAAAGAUGUUGUGUCCGCCGAAAACUAAAAAAUAAAUAUUAAAAAAAUUCUCUCUCUCUCUCUCUCUCUCUCUCUCUAAAAAAAAAAAAAAAGACUUUAUUCCCUCAAAUUUACUCCUAAAGUUAAAAACUCCACCCCUGAAACCUUAUCCCUGCCUUUGAUGUACCCCCUUAAAUAAACCACCGGGAGCCAUUUCCUAAUUGCUGUCCCUACAAGAGUUUCUCCAUAUCUUUAGGACCUUGAGUUUAAAAAAAAAAAAAAAAAAAAACAAAAUCCAAGGUGCUUAUUUGUAGCCAUACCUGGAAGGUAGUUCUUCACUUGAUUUUGCAAAGAUAAUAAAGGUUAUUAGUUGAAAAAAAAAUUAAAAACUACAUUCUGAAGCUUCUGGAAGAAAGCUUCUACGAGUAUCUUAUGUGGUUAAUGACAAAAGUUGAAAAAGACAAGCAUGCGAUUCUGAGGUCACUAUCCAAUGCUUCACCAAGAGGAAAGCUGGUCUGGACCAGGACCCCUGCUUGUUUGCUUCUGUUACUGACUACUUUCGUGAUGCUUAGGCUUUGCGUAUCAACUCAGGGACAGGCUACAGAGAGCUGCCGGGCUGCAAAUGGUUCUCGAGAUUGUGUUUCUCGUGCAUUAUCUGAGAAGUUUUAAUAAAAAUCUGAUUAAAGGAUUCUGCCUGGUCUCCACAGGCCAGUGGGCAUUCAUAGGAGGGAGCACAAAGUGUAAUGUGCUUCCCUCCCUCAGAGCUGCGAUGAGAGCAGCAGCCAGCCAUGGACUGCCUAGCAGCUUAUGCUGAGGCUGAAGGAGGAUUCCCAAGCUGUGGCACAGCCUGUGCAGCUCUCAGAAACCACCCAAGACCCUAAAGGACUUGCAUGUGUAACUAAUUCACUAUAUGACCUUGUCGUAUAGUUUGGAUUACACAAAAAUGACAACAAAAGCUCAGAGUGGGCAAGCAAUUUGCCAAACAUGAUCUGAGGUUCCAUUCAGUUUUUUUCAAUAGACAAGUUUUUGACAAGUUCUUAUGUCCAGGCAGUGUGCUUAAUAAUAAAUCCUGGUGAUUUUAGAUCUUGAAUCCAUAUCUCUCACAAAUCCAGGAUUGUAUGCACUGUGUCAAGAUGACUUUAAAACCCAAAUAAUAAAAUGCAUUGAAUUUGAUCCCUGAGGUCCUUUUCUACUCUGUAUUCAAAGAAUAUAAUGCAUUUUUUCCCUGGGAAAAUUGAGGGGAAAAAAGUAGGGAGGGCAAGUUUUGGCCUGAGUUUUUAUGUAUAAGAAACUGCAGUUAAGUUCAAUCAAAACUCUAAUGAGAUUCUGAUCCACUUUUGUGCCCUCUUAGGAAUUUUUGAUUCAGCAUAAGGAGUACCCCUCGGUUCAAGGGCAUCUCCCCUUAUUCUAAUGGGGGGACACAUAAGCAAUAAUCCCAACAGUAAAUAAAAUAUUAUUACAGUGUUAGGUACAGAAAAGUGCUAAGUACAGUGAAAGUUCACUGACCAUAAUCUCUGCAAUCAGGACAUUUUUUGUGGAAGACCAGAUCUCAGUUUACACUGAUAUUAACUGGAAAUUGUUCAAACCAGAAGAGAGAAAAGGGCAACCAAGGAGCUGUCAAUGAACAAGCAAAAGCGAGGGGAUAGAAGGCAACCGAGUGUGUUCAGAAAAACACAGGCACUUCUCUGGUUCUGCAGAGUUCACCAGAAAGAUCAAGGCUGACUGCAAAGGAAGCCGGAGAAGGAGGUCUGACUUUCUUUUCAACAUUUAAAGGAAGGGGCUCAUUUAAAAAUAUCUAAAGCAAAUCACACAGUGCCCUGCAACAGUUCCAAAAUUCAACCAUGGUGAUUGCAUCCUGGGGCUUAGCAGAGGAUGCAUCACCCCAUAGACAAUGCAGUCAAUGUUUUUACAGGGAAAGAAAUGAACACCAUAAAAUGGUUUAGUGUUUUCAGUGACAGGAAGAGAAAAUGCGUCAGUUCAGUUACUAUUGCAUCCAGUAUGUACACAUCUGUGUGUAUAUCUAUAUAUGAGUGCUACCCGCCACCACCACUGUAGUUAGCUGCAGUAGAAGACAGGUGCCACCUUGGUUCUUUGGUAAAAUCCAUUUCCUGUACUGUCAUUCCCAGUCCACAUCAACCUAGCCAAUCUGACAUUAUCCAAUCUGACAUUAUAAUCCAAGGAUCUAGGGAGAAACACUGUGCUUUUCUAAACAACAUAUUCCUUUUACCUAAAGAAGACUUGGAAGAACUAAAGUCAUUGACAUUUUACUGAGAAUUGACUAAUUUUAAUUAACUAAUUAAAAUAAUAUUACUAGAGUAUUACUAAUUCUUUUUUGGCAAAGAAGGGUGUAGCAACAGGCAGGGAUAUCAAAAAGAUGUGGCAAAAAGAUAGGUAAUAAUAGCAGGCGUCCUAAAUGCUGCCUUUGGGUUUAUCACUAAAUUUUGAUGUAUGUCAAAUAUUUAUCUCCAGGGAGGUCUGGGAAAUUCUAAGGCAGAGACCAGACUGAGCAAGAUGGAUAUCCUAAAACUGAGCCAUUUGAGAUUUACUUUGUGAUGUGACAGUUUGAUAUAUUUUAUACCAUCAUAAUGAAUUCUCCAUUUCCCAAUUUAAUUGCAUGACUACUCGCAUUUUGAAUUAGAGAUGCUUUUCUCCAUCUUAACGAGCAGGGCUGUUCUUCACUGACUGGGAAACUGUAAGAGAAAUUAAUGCUGCUACUGUUUUGCAAACUCUGCAGAAUUUCUCCAGAUUUUAUGGAGCCCAAAGCUUGCAUGGUUUAGAGGAUACUUAGGGGCAGGACAGAUGGGGAGGCAGACAGCCACAUGUUGUUUUGGACUAAAACAAAAAAGGAUAAUGGGAAAAAGGGUUAGAAAAGUGGGAAAAGGUUGAAUCAGUCGUGCGUUUGAAUGCCAAAUCAAGGAGUUUUGGAUAGUUGGAGGAAGCUCAUUAGAUAAUCAUUAUAUAAUAGAUUUAUGGUUAUUUUUAUAGACUCAUUCCAUUGUAGUUUUGCAGAAAUGUGCUCCCUGCUUUGAAAAGGGAACCAGUAAAUUAUUGGCUCACAUUAUAAAAGCCUGAUGCCAACUUGGUUUUUCUUAAUGGUAUAGAAUUCUUUUGGAUCUCUAGAUUUAGAAACCAUUUUACUUUUUGGAAACUAUUUUACUUUCUAUAAUUUUAUGUCUUUUCAUUUAUAAAACAAAUAUGCAUACACCCUGGGAAGCAAUUGCCAAACAUUAAUAUUUCAACGUGGGCCUACUGUUCUUUUCUUGAACACAAAAGAAAAAAAAAUCACUUCUGAUAACAGCCAUGCUAUGUCUCUAAAGUAAUAAAACAGAUUGAAAAUUUGUACCACCAGGUAGUGGCUCAGUGAUGUGAACUGUGUAUAGGGGUGGGGAGUGGCUAUCACUCUGAGUCCAGUCUGGAGCAAGAAAUCAUACCUCUUAAUUUAAUGGAUAAAAUUUAAUAUAAAUAAUUAACUAGGUUCAGGUCAUUUGAAACUGGGUAACUGGCCCCACUAGAGUAGUACAGCACUCUAAAGCCUCUUUCCCUCCACAUAGUACUUUAUUCUACAUAUUUGUCCCACAGUUAGCUGCAUCAAAUGACAAUUUCUAUUUCAAAGAGUGACCUGCUGUUCAUGCCAUGCCUAAUACGCACAUUGAAAGUCCAGCAGAAUGCAGUCUGACUAAAUUUGGCAUACAAGAAUUUAAUUGGAUAUCUUACUUAAGAAUUAUCCACGACUCCAAUUCAAUUUAAUUGUUUAUCACAUAUCAAGCCAGCAAGUCAUUUCAAAAGAUCGAAUUGGGAAUAAAAAAUCCUACCUCCUGGUAAAAUCCCAAGCACCAUUCUAUGUUUGUAAGCCUACCUUAUCCUAUCGCUUCUGAAAGAAUUGCUCAUCUAAAAAACUAGCAUUUCUGGUUCCCAACAUGAGCUAUCUGCAAUCAGCCCCCCCCCCCCCACAAAAAAAAUGCUGGUAUCAUUUUCCAAGGAGCUAACUCACACUGAAGUGGGAAACUGCUGGCUGUGUCUCUAGCCGGCACACACACACACACACACACACACACAAACCUGUUUUCUGCCAGCUGCCUGGAUGCAUGCUACCCCAAACACCUCACCUCAUUUGGAAACACUAAGUUUUCAUCUCAAAAAUCCACAUUUCAUUUGCCAAGAUUAAUUUAAACUCAAUACAUUUGAUCAGUCACUUAAAGAUGCUAAGUGCCUGUUCAUAUAGAUCAUUGUAGGACUAGCCCCUCUUCAAAUACAUCAUUUUAUUCAUUUCUGCGUAUGAGAAGAUUAUAAGUUGGAAGGAAGAGCAGAGUUCUGGGAGCUCAGACCGGGUUCCAUCACUUUAACACAGCAUCUCAAGUGAGUUAUUUCAUUUCCCCAUGCCUUGGAAUUCUUAUCUUUCAAAUGCAUAUGGGAUAAAGCUCCUACCCUCCUGGCCUAUGAUCUCUGCAUCGCACCCCAGUUUUAUUACCAUGGUUCUGUUACACAGCAUGACAAAUAGGGUAUUGCAGAUGUAAUUAAAGUUACUAAUCAGUUGUUCUUAAGAUAGAAAGAUUACUCUGGAUUAUUUAGGAGGACCUGGAAUAGAAAAGCAGAAGAAUUCAAAGAGAUGUGGUGCAUGAGAAGGACUGGACUUGCCAUUGCUGGUUUGUAGAUGGAGGGGUCAAGUGGAAAAAUGACAGAGAAAUGAUUUCUUUCAAUAUCCAGUGAAUGUUGAAAAGGACCUCAAGCCCCAGAAGAGAAUUGCAGCUGCAGGUGAUUCCUUGAUUUUAUCUUGGCAAGAUAUGAAUGGAUCAGAGAAUUCAACCAUAUCACAUCAGGUUCCAACCUACAGAACAGUGAGAUAAAUAAUGGGUAUUGUUUUGAACCACUAACAGCUUGUGAUCAUUUAAUUUGUUACACAGUGCUAGAAAAUAAAUACAAGAGGCAAUAUGAUACUUCAUUAAUGCAAGAAGUCAUUGUGAACAAUAAAAAUCUCCACAAAUGUUCUUCGUUUUUUCUGUUGUUAUUGUUUCCUUCAUGCAAAUUCUCUAUACCCUCUGGUUUCCAGUCUUUGUUUUAUUUAUUUUUUUAAUCCAAGAGGAUCAGUUAUGGUAGGGACCAGAUAGACUGAGAAAAGUUUGCAUCUCAGAAACAGUUGACAAGAAACAAUCAAGUCGCACGCUGGCUCACUCUUCCUAGGUCUAUGUUCCUUCAGAAAGGCAUAUUUUGUUCUAAGGGCCUUUUAUAGACCAUCAUUACCUUUGGGAUUCUGCAUGAUCCCAAUUAUAAUUACUCUGUAGAUGAGAUGUUUAUCCAGCUGUAACACUGGAUUGGUUCUGGGGCUGUCUAUGCCCCUAGAGUCUCAUUUCUGGCCCUGCGGGGUAGUAACACCAGGUUGCUCCAUUAUCCUUUCUUUCUCCGAGGGCUCCUGAAGGCUCUUCACUGUCUGCAACUAUAUUAGUCUGGAGAUCUCAUUCCAGACACUCAUUCAGUCAACUAGAACAGAAAUUAAAAUCUUUGGUCCAAUUUUGAGCUAAAAAAAAAAUUGACUGGUUCUUCACCAUGUAUCAUUUCCCGAAUAGCUCUCUCCCUAGAAAAACACACCACAUCCAAAGAAUGUUUACUGAAAAGGAAAAAAGAAAGAUCUGCUGUUUCUUGCCACCAUCCAUAUUUGUAUUUUUAGGAGACCAUAUCUUAUUUCUUAUAUUAUCUGUAUCUCCAACUUUGUUCAAAAAUUUAAAAAAGGCUUUUUUUUUUCAUCUUCCUCUGUGACUUUUAAAUGAUUAAUUAUAUAUUGUCCUUGGUAAUUUUGCAAAUAUAAUACUUUAAACUGAAAAUUUUUCCUGAUUGCCAUUGCAAGUAUUCUUAGUUCCAAAGUUGUUUGAGUUGUAAACACUACAGGAGUAUUUUUGUCUGUAUUCUGGCUCUACUAAGUAUUCAGAGCAUACAGUGAUUAGGAGCUCAUACUCUGAAAAUAGCCUCCAUUGUGUAUCUCAGCUCUAUCAUUAACUAGCCAUGAUCUUGUGCAAGUUAUUUAACUCUCCAGGCCUGGGAUUUUUCAUCUGUAGAAUUCAUCCAUCCAUUACACAUAGCUCCUGAGUAUCUACCAUUUUAAUUAUUAUUAUCAUCAUCAUUCUAUUCAAAUUCCCAGGACACUGACUGAAAACAGAGCAUUGAACUGGUUGGUAAAACAAUCAGUGGCAAAGUCAUAGUUUGCUGUCAUGCUUUCUUGGUUUUCCUUGUUCCUUGUUGUCCUGCAUUGAUAUCUCCACAUUUGAUGGUCUUCUAGGCUCCAAGGAGUCAACGCAGUAGGAAUAAACUCCAACUAUCAGUGAGUGUGCAGGAAGUGGAUGGAAGGUGUGUACAGCUCUGAUUCCAAUGAGAUCACAGCAGCAUAGCCUCUGGGGACCUAGUGAUCUGAGGCUGGUGUUGGCAAAAACUGCAGAGAUUGCCAGGGCUCUGGGUGUCUGCAGAGGCCUUGUGGGCUGUUAGAAAUUUCAGUGGUGAAGGAUAUUAGGAUAUUCCUAAUUUCUUUAUCUCCAAAGGGGGAAGUCAUUGCUGAGGUGAUCACUCUUGGCCUGGCUCAGGCUCCCAAGUACCAUGGUGGCAGUGGCAUUUUUGUCUUAUGCAUGUGGAAAGGAUCUGGAACUCAGGCACGUGUGGAGUUACCAUGGCUUGGAAGCCUAGGAAUGCGGUGGCACUAGUCCUCAAGGUACAAGUGCCCCUUCUAUCAUUUUUUUGUAGUGAUAUGCAAGGUACAGGUGCUUGUGGAACAACCAGGGUCAGGAGUGUGGGCAUGUGCAGAGCUAUAGACUCUGGGGUCUGAGUCACAGGUGUGACAGUGACUCCAGUGUUCUAGUCGCAGGCACUCACCAUGUGGCUGCAGAGGCAGAACACUGAUAUGUGCAGGUCCACCUUGCUCCAGAGACCAGGACAUAGACAUGCCAGGGGUGGCAUUGGCUUCUGCUGCAGAGCCAGUAUUUGCAGAGUGACUGCAGUAAUCUGGAUCAAGGGUACAUAUGGAAUGACAGUAGCUCUGAGGUCUUGUACACAGGUUAGUUUUCUGUAUCAAUAGCUCCAAAGUUUGUAUCAUACUUGCUCAUGAAGCAGUAAUGAAAUUGGGGAUCCAUGAUUCUGGAUCCAGGAUGGUGCUACCCUGCAUUGGUGGCUCCAGUGUCUGCAGUGUGGGUGCGUACAAUGUGAACGUGGAUCUAAGGCCUGGAGUGCAGCCAUGCAUGAAGAGCCCAAGUUCUGGACUAGAAAGCAUGCAGUGUUGGAGGGCUUGACAGUCCUGAUCCCAGGAUGACACAACAAUGGCUUUUUCUGGGAGUGGGGGACAGAGCACAGCAUGUCCAUCUCCAGGGAGUCUGUGGUAGCCAUGGCUGUUAAUUACCUCAGUGGAGAAUCUUCUGGUGUCCUCAGAAGAACAGAACACUAGUGACCCUGAUGAUGGCAUUGAUGGCCUGGCUGACACUGACUAAUAAUGAUGGUGCCUGCCCUUCCUCUUUGUUCCUAAUCAUUCCCUGGUGUCUCAGGUAUGCUGAUCUCCCCUGAGAUUUCUUUAAUUCAGUUAUUCCUCUUGAUAUUUUCUGGGUAGUUUUACUCCAUUUUGUUGCUGCAGGUUCUCAAUUGGAUCCUUCAGCCCUCCCAGGGCUACUUCUCUUCAUGUAUAAGCUACCUAAUUGUGGGUUUUGUGGUCAUCGUUUGUUUGUUUGUGAAGGGCUGAAGGCUGAUGUUUUCUUCUAUCUUGCAGAUGUAGCAAUGGUCAACGAUGAUGCCAAGAUAAUUCAGUGGGGAAAUAAAUCAUCAUGCUUGACCAACUGCUUAUCUACAUACCAGAGAAUAAAGUCAGGCCCCUUUUGGGCUCCAUACACCAAAAUGAACCAAAAAUGCAUGAUAGAUCUAAAUGUAACAGCUAAAACUGUAAAAUUCUUAGGAAAAAAAAUAUAGACAAUUUUGACCUUGAUAAAGGCAAAGCAUUCUUGGAUAUGAUUCCAAAAGCAUAAGCAACAUAAGAACAAGAUAUACAUUGGACUUCAUCAAAUUUAAAACCUAUAGUGCUACAAAUGAUACCAUUAAGAAGAUGAAAAAUAUAACCUACAAAGUAUGAUAAAAAUAUUUACAAAUUAUAAAACCAUAUAUCUGCCAAAGUACUUGUGUUUCAAAUAUAUAAAGGCUCUUACUCAGUAAUUUAACAAGAUAAAUCAGCCAAUUAAAAAAUAUACCAAUGAUUUGAAGAGGCUUUUCUCUCAAGAAGAUAUUGGCAUUUUUUUGAAAAUGUUAAAUAUACACUUACCAUAUGACUUAAAGAUUUUAUUCCUAGAUAUCUACACAAAAGAAUGAAAUCAUAUUCUCUACAAAAAAUGUAUAUGUGAAUGUUCAUAGCAUUUUUAUUCAUGAUAGACAAAAAUUGGAAAUAAUCCACAAAUCCAUAAACCCCUGAAUGCAUAACCAAAACAUGCUGUAUUCAUAAAAUGGAAUACCAAUUAACUAUAAAAAGAAUAAAACACUGAAACAUAUAACAACAUGAAUGAACCUUAAACCAUCAUGUAACAUGAAAAACAAAAACAGACACAGAAGACUAAACACUGCAUGAUCCUAUCGACAGAGAAUUCUAGAAAGUCUGUUUGCUUGACACUUGGCACUUUGGUGAGGAGGAAGGGGUCAGAUGCACAAGCGCAUACCAUGGGGGUGAUAGGAUGCUCUGUAAAGGGAUCUUGAGGAUGGGUGUACAACCCUAUAGACCUAAUAGAUACUGUUCAAUUACACACUUAACUAUGUCAUGUAUAUAAAUUUACCUUCAUAAAGUUAAUAAACUAGAUUUUAAAUUAAGAACUUCAUUUCAUUUAAAGGAUAUGAAAAACAGGAACUUUCAUAUAUGUGAAAAUAAAUUGUCUCAGUAAUUUUGAAAAACUGAGAUCAUCUAAGUUUAACUCUGAUACCUCAUGGUUUUACUGUUAGGCAGUAUAUACUCCAUAGAACCACCUAUGUAUAUUCACUAUAGACACAUGAUUUCUCAGAAACGGUGCAGCAUCAGCUCCAAGCUAGCAAUGCAAAUAUACAGACAUGUGUUUUGUUACAUUCAUAAUAUGCAGCAAUGAAAGUCAAUAAAUUAUUUCUGCAUGAAAGAACAUGGAUAAAAUUCUUAAUUAUAAAGCUAAUGACAAAAGCCAGACAUAAUUAUAUAGAAAUAUAGAUACUGUUUAUAUAUUUAAAUUUAGCAAAACUAAGCUAAGGAUUCAACAUCAAGGCACUGGUCACUUUUAGGGAAGAGAAAUUGCAUUCUAACCUGCUAGAGGCAUGGAGAGCUUUUAGAGUGCCGGUAAUAUUCACUUCAUAGUCUGAUGGUGGUGAUGUGGAUAUGCUGACUUUGUGAUAAUGCAUUGAGAAAUACAGUGACAAUUCAUAUACACACUUGUAUUUAUGCUAAUUGUUAGUACAGAAAUAUCGUUAUGACUUGGAUGCAAGAAGUCCCCUGAAAAGCUCAUGUGUGACCAUGAAGGAAUGUCACACCAUUAAUCUCAAAUCAUGAAGUGGAGUUAUGUAAAUAAAUUAACUCUAUCUUCUAUAGAGUGAUUAGCUUAUGAGCUAAGCUUCAUCACUAGGUUAAUCCAUUUGACAGGUUAAUAACCUGAACGGACUGGUGGAUGGUAACUGUAGGCAGGUUGGGUAUGGCUGGAGGAAGCAGUCAACUCAGACAGCUUUUAAAUCUCAAUUUCAGGAGGGAAGGCCCAGGAGCAAUAUUGGCAGAACUACUUUGUUAUAUAAUAUGCGCAUACAAAUAUGUAACAACAAAUCCCAUUAUUAUGCACAACUAUAAUUCACCAAUGAAAAUAUGUGGGGAAAAAAUAAAUACAUCUCAAGUUCAUAAUAAAAACAAUCAUGUUCCUUUCAACAUGUAUUACUAACACUUUAUCAAGUUCAGGUGAGAUGAUUCUUUUUACUCCAUCCUAAAAUGGGUGAGUAUUCCUAACCUAAAGGGAAAUAUCUCAGUCUAACCAUUAAUCCCAAAUCAUGAUGUGGAGUUAUGUAUCCAAAUUAAUUCUAUCUUCUAUCAACCCCUGAGUUUGUGUCAUCCAAUCUGCUCCUUAGAUUUUAUCAAUAAUAUCUUAGUUUCAAGUGUUUGUUUUUUAUCUGCUGAUAAUAUGAACAAAAUUCUGCCUUGAUAUUUCUUUUAAUAAUUGUGUAGCCUAGGUAAUAUAUAUCUUAUAAGAAAAUAAUGUUUCAAAAUUUGAAUUCUACCUUUGGGGGCCUUGCCUUUUAUUCAGUUUUCCUGAAACUUUUUAUGAAAUUUAAGUCUUCAUGAAAACUGGUGCCAUUAUAUGAAAUAUCAAUACCACUUUUUGCUUGGGAAAAAUAUAAAAUUAAAUUCCAAAUGGGCAACCUCGAUAUUCACAUAACUUUUCGAUUUGUCUAUUAUCCUGUCCACUGUAAAAAAAACAAAGCCAUGUUUAUUUUAGUCCCUUUAGUUAAAAUGACAGAAUUGUCAUUACAGUUCUUCCACAUAGUUAACAAGAGAUAUUAUCCACUAUGACACUGAGAAAUAUCCCAUAGCUUUGUUCUGCAUUGAUUUUACAUUAGAAACUACCCACACUGACCUAUGGGCCUUUCUCAAACUAAUAAAAUUACAAUCUGAAAUUAUAGGCCAAACUCUUUUACAAGGUUCUCCUAUCGUAAGGGGAUGACUUUAUGGAAGGAGAAAUUCAUGGAGUAGCAAAUCUCCUUAGUCAUUCUUGGCACAUGAGCUUUUAGCAAUAUAUGGAAAAUAAUUUCUAUCAAAAGUCAGAACAACUAAGAUGAAUCAAGCCAAUUUAGUGUAAGCAGUUUCCAAAAUCACCUGUAACUCUUUUGCAUGGACCCCUUUUCACAUCAGAACAGUAAACUAUGUAGAGGACUCCAUGUGCCAUUUAUGUCUAGGUCCUCAGCACCCAACAAUCUGCAUAGUACAAAAAGAGUGCUUAAUAAAAACUUGUCAGACAAGUGUCAAUUUGUUCUUCCAGAACACAUUUCUUUCCCCCCUGAGAAGUAACAGGCCCUUUCUGUACCCUUCAGCUUAUCAAAUUCCCUGACACCUAAACGAAGACUCAUGAAAAACAGAUUUAUAUCAUCAUUUCCUAGAUCAUUGAUGGAAAAGACUCUAGGCUCAAAACUCAUCCUUGUUAUAGUGGCUCCUGGGUCACCCAAGCCUAGGCUCUGGUGAUCUAAAUAUAGAUACUAAAGAAAGACUAGAUCCUAAUACCUAAGCAACAGUAAAUUGCAAAUGUAUAUAAUUGUAUUUUCCUUCUCCACAGUACAAAACUUUGAAUUCUUUGAAUUCAGCUUUCUCCAAUUGUCUAGUUGGAGAAAGCAAAGAGUUCAGUGAUGACAAAAGAGACUUUCACAUCUCGGUCCAAAACUCGGUUCUUCUCCAGUCUGUGCAAUGAAGGAAUACCUACCAAAUAACCUGGAAACCAGAGAAGACCCAUCAUUGGUACCAGCCUGAAAAUGUGCACCACUAAUUUUAAAUGCCACUUAUUAUUAUGCAAACUGGAAGAAUUUGAAUCUCAACCUCCAUUCUAUUUAACUAGUAUGGCAUUCUGUGCCAGUUUGACACUAGAAUCUUAGAUAUUUAUAGGGUGUCCAGACAACAGGGAAGGGGCUUCUCCCCUGCAAUUGACCAUGACUUGAUCUGGCCUCUAGGAUGAUCUCAGGCACAAUUUUACUAUUGCUCCUAUAGUCCUCUCACCCUAAGCCAAGAAUGUGUCCAAUCACCUGCUUUUGGGACUAUGACCUCAGACUGAAGACCUAGCAUACAUCACAGACCCUCUCCCUCCUUUGUACAUGCUCCUUAGGACUCUGUCACGAAGGGUUCAAGGUUCAAGCCUUACUACAUUUUGGGCAGUGUUUUAAUUUCUAUGUAUGUUAUCCUCUAGAUUCUCAUAAGUGUGAAGUGGGGACACUACUGUUUCUAGUACUCUUUACCAAUAAAACACAAAGUCACAGAGAAGUUUAGGAAUUCACAUAAGGUCACACAAUAAAAAGCAAAACCAAGAAUAAAAGUCAUGCUUGUCACCACAGUUAAUGAACUCAUCCUGAAGAAAAUAACAUUUUUGAUAAUAAUGAUAAUGAUGGUGUGAUAUAAUAUCUAAAGUAGUUUGCUGGAAAUUUCAGGUACAUGUAUGGAGUAUGUUACAAAAGUAAUCUCUACUUGUAGAGAUUUGUAAAAUCACCUCUAUUUUACAAAUGAAGAAAAUAAGACUAGCUAGUUACUUGAGUAGUGGGGGAAAGAUCAGACUACACAUCUGUCUGACCCAAAUGCCCUGCUCUGCCCCCACAAGUAAUUUCAGUUAUUUCCUAAGGUUCCUCAUUGAGUAUGGUGUAGCCAUCCUUCAUGGGCUGUCUCCUCUCUCCCUCUAUGUCUCACCCACUUCCAUCUCUUCAGUCCUGGCCUCAUCUCCAGUCACAUAGAACUGCUUGCUCUUCCCCAAGUUCUUCUUCCUCGUUUCCCAUGCCUCCACUCACGUUCAUGGUUAAUUACUGCACACCUCUCACCUGCUCAGCUUAAAUGACCCCAGCGAUGCAUUCUCUGACUACAGUCCUGAAUUCUCCAUUUAUGCAGAAAUACCCAUCUAUGUGACUGUUUCCCCCGUAACCCCACACAGCAACAGAAACUAAAAGAUGCCUACCCCUGGGUCACAAAGGCAGCUGACCCAGCACACUGACAAGACUUCUCUUGGCAGGCACCAUCACCAGCUUAUCCUUCAGAACACAUUUCCCUCUGAAGUGGCAGAGUCACAGAGCCCGUGGAGCUGGUCGCCAGUACCAAGAGGGUGGGAGAGCAAGUUAUACAUCAGAAUAUGACAGUUGCCCAGGAACUCUCUGGGACAGCUUCUGGAUUCACUCACUGUGACAAGGUUAGGCUACAUCUGAAUGAAACUCAGAACAAGUUGUGAGAUUUGAAGAAGCAAAUGUUACAGGGAGGAGAACUCUGGAAUGAGUUCCAGGGAUCUCAGUUUGAGUUCUUCCUCCAUUACUCAGACAUUUUCAAAAGCAUGCUAGAAAUUCUGUAACUUUAAGGUAAGAACUAAAUGUAAGAAUGGGUAUGGUUGAGUUUGUAAACCGUAAAAUAUAGAAUAGAGUUAUUGAGUUAUAAAGUCCCUAAUAAAGUCCUUAACAACAGAGAUUGUGUCUUACAUUUCUUGUCUCCCCAUAAAUAUAUUUGGGACACCUAUGUUAAAAUGUAAUAGAAAGAGCCCUAUUUGCUCUGAAUUUUUACAUUGGUUGUAUUUUCUUGCUGCCAGUCAGAGAAUAGCAUGAACUGCUCCCUGAGUCAUAUUUAGUUAUGAGUAUUUGUAGUGAAAAUAUGAUGUUCAGAGUUGCUGCCACUACAUUUCAAUCAACUUCUAUAUAAGGCCAACCUACCUCCUAGUGAUAACGGACUCAAAUGAACCCCCAUAAUAGGAAGCUUAGAUAUCUCUGGCAUGAUGAACAGACAAGGAGUAAGCUAACCUAGAGUGGAUGGAACCCCAUCCAAGGGUGGGUGUAAAUGGGAACAGUUUGGGACUAUCCAACUCGGCUUUUUAGUGACUAGAAUAAUGGCCAGCCUAUGAUACAUGAACUAAUGUUUCAUGUCUUUCCUACUGAGCCUCACAUUGCAAUUGAAGGAAACAAUAUUGAAUAUUUGCUCAUUUCCCCCAAGACAGUCAUCGUGAGGAGAAAAAGCACAAGGAAUAAUGCAUGUGGUUUGCAAAAAUAUUGAUUAAUCUCUUUGUAUCUGUGCAUGUGUGCCAACCAGAAUUAUUCCAUGGAAAUAAUUGGCCCAUGGAAUGGAUCAAGUGCUAACUUUGAAAAUCAGUUUGAUUCCAUAUCAAUAUCAGUAAUGGGACAAAUACAUAGAAGAUAAUAUUUUCAUUUUACAUAAAGAAAGUAAAACUAAAAUGGUUAUGGGCCUUACACAAAGACAAGCAAAUCAGAAGUGGAGGGAACAGUAGGUUCUACCCAAGUUUCAUCUCUAGCGCUAGAUAGAACAAGGGAAGCAUGAUAAGAAGUUCUGAUUCCCAGCGUGAGGGAAAGGCCAGGAGUUAGAAUUGAUGGCUUGCUGAGCCAGUUUCACUCAUAAAGACCGAGACAUUGCUGUCUUUCCAUUAGGACACCCAUGAACAUUACUCUUCACUGAGAGACAAUGAUGCAAUCUGCUCUCAUCAAAGAAGGAAAGAGAAGAUUGCCAGGGAUUUACAUAAUUCAGCACAUAGCAAGAUAUUUUUCAAGGUUCUUCAGCAAUGUCAUUUUACUUAUAAACUGUUCAAAGGAGGAAUAUUUAUGGCCCUUCGACCUCUCCCACUGGCCCUAAAAGAAAUUGAAUUUCCAACCAAAUCCAUUUACAAAGAAAGAGCUAUUCAUUCUAAUAAAGCCACAUGGUAAGUACAUUAAGUAGGGGAAAAUGUCUUUUGAUGAACAGAGAUAUUACACCCACAGGAGUGGCAGCAACCUCAGGGAAAAAGUUAAGGUUGGCUGCUUCUGAUCUCACUUGAAAUUUUCCCAGCUCAUAAAGCAUGACAAGACCACAAAGCAGCUGCUUUAGAGUUACCCAAGUGCCAUUAGCCAAUACGCCCAAUUUCAGCCUUGAUACUUGUGGCAUGAAGUAAUGUAUGAAGAAGAAAAAUGGUCGAUACUUUAAAAGGAUCUCCAGCUUCCAAUCUGUACAAAUACAAUCCUGGUACCAGCACUAACACAGAGGGCAUGCCAAAAGAUAGGUAAGAAGAUAUUUGUCUGUAAGAAAUGUACAGAAAGACUUGUGCAUUCAGUGUGGAGCAUGACAAAACAAACACAAUCAGAUGUCAAAAACAGACUGUCAACAACAGGACUAAUUUGGCCAGGCUCAGGUGAAUUUCCCAAUAGUAGGGCAGUGGGGUUGGCAAGAAAAAUGUGAAUUCAAUGCUUUGGAGGGAAUAUGGAAUGACCUUGGAAGUUGAGAAAGAGUGAGGAAGAAGGAUGUAUUAAUUAUUCUACCCAUGUUCCUGACUUAAAAGGUUUAGUGAGUGGUGGCAGUAGACACUAAGCUCUGGGACACUGAAUGAGAACUGGGGGAAACUCUGAUAGGUUAAUUUAGAAAUUCUGAGUCUAAAUGUCCUCUGGGACAUUCAUAAAAGCAAAUGCCAUCACAGUCUGGUCACACACAUAGGAAUAUAUGUGCUGGGUACAAAGAACUUGCAGUUGCUAGGAAAUUGGAAUUAUCCCUAAAGUCCCAACCCCCUGUUCUCUUUUCAGAGUAUCUAAGUCAGAAAUCCCAAUGAUUGCACCAAAUUGUAACCUUGCUUUUAAAGAAAGAUGUGUUUUAUUUAAGAUUGAAUAGGAUAAAUAUAACAAUAAUUCAAACAUGUGAUCACUUUAGGAAAGAAAGUCCUAAUUUACACCCAAUUGCCACAUCAGUUGUAGAAAACUCAAAAUCAAGUUGGUUUUUAGGUACCUUGGAUAACACUUCUGGAAUAAAAAUCCUGAAAAGAAUAAAAUCUGGUUUUCUGUAGGCCACCUAACAAUAACCCUGAGUUCUCCAAUAGGAUAGAGUCAAAGAAAUGUCCUGCAAGAUUACAUUCAUUGUGCCUGCUAAAUUGGGAGCAGUCAUUCACCCAAACACUAGUCAGUGAUACUUCUGAUAAGUGAGCCACAGAUAAUGUAAAAUCAGAGAAAUUUGAGUUUGGAACUCUCAUAAUGUUGACAGAAAUGAGGAGAAAGGAAUAAAAAACAAAAAGAUAAGCAACACACAUACAGAGAGAGAGAGAGAGAGAGAGAGAGAGAGAGAGAUUUCAGGCCUCAGUGGCUGUGUUAUAAAUGGGAAUGGAACAAAUCAAGUAAGCAGGUAAGCUUGAGAAAGAGAGGGAGAUGAAACUUCAUGUUAGGCAGUAGAUGGGACAGUGAGAGAACACAGAAAGCAGAAAUUGAUUCUUUAUCAUACACAAAAGUCCCCUAAUUUCUUUGGUUGCUAAAAACCAGAACCAAUUUCCCUGAUUAUCAAUGAAAUCAAAAGGAAAGUCUAUAUACAUUUUGAUGAGAAUUAGAGAGAAAAUCACAAUUUUUUUCUCAGUAAACACAAGCAGUUGACAACUAGACCAAGCAGAAAGAGAGGGGAAAAAAUUGAAGCAUACUGGUAAAUCCCAGCAUAUAAGAAAUAGAACAAGAUUCCUAUGAAGGUAUUCAAGAAGAAGAUAUCAGAACUUCACUGAACUAAGAUUAAUAAACUUCUGGGUAAUAAGAAGCUUGAAGGGACCUGAGUUUAAUUGAUGAAUAAGAGUGCAAUAUGAUUAAACUAUUAUUAUAUAAAAUAAAUGCAAAAAGACUACAAUCCAGUGUGUAACAGAGAAGAUCUUGGAGGAGUGAGUGUGCAGAGAAAUCAAUAAGGAAAAGCUUAUUCUCCCUCUUAACAGGAAAAAAGGUACAAGAAAGAAGAGGAACAGGGGUUCUUCAAUCUCUAGGAAUAUCAGAGGAAAUGUAUUUUGACUUAGGUGCUCAAAUAUAUAGAAAGUUUAAAUAAUCAGUAUCUUUGAUGAUACAUAAAAUUGGUGGAUUCUUGGCAAUUAGUAAGUUUUUAGCCCAAUAAAUCUGGAAGAUCAUGUGUGUAAAGGAAGAUAAGAGAUGUCAGUGGUGUGUGGUAGAACUGAGAGAGAAUGUUUGACUACGACCAAGACUUGUAAAGAUGAACAUGAGCUGUGUUGAGAUAAAGGACAGGACUUUUCCUUCCUGAUGGAGAGACCAGGAGGACUUUGGGUCAAAGCAGAAAGUUCAGCUGUGAGAUGAGCUGUUCUCUCAUAAGAUCUUUAGAAGUAGAUUUAGCAACACAAUUCUGUGUUCUGGGUUGAAGUCAUUGAAUCUGGAUACCCAUAUUGUUCUCCACUCAGUAAUGACAUGCAGAGUAGAAGAAUUAAGGGACAGAUAAAGCAACCUUUGGCCAAGUAUGGUAUUCAAAAUGUUCACAGCCAGUGUCAUAGACCCCAAUCAAUUAGAAGGGACCAAUCAGAAUAUGCAUAAACUAUAAAUAACUAUAAAUACCAGGGGGCACCAACAGAAUUUUCACCCUGCCUAAGAGUUCUAUUUGCUCUUCAAGGUCAUUGUUACUGGAUGAGACUGUUGAUAAGCUUCUACAGUGCUUUAAAGGGGGUUCUUUUUGAAGGAAACCAAAUAAAUCUUGCUGCCAUAUUAUUAACCAUAUUAAUAUCCUUUGUCAACCUGUUUUAAUAAGAAGGUACAUCAAUAAAGUUCUCAGCUCAACAACAAUGAAUCUGUGACUAGGUGAUAUCAAACAUAUUUCUGAAACUUUUAAUGAUGUCUUAUUUUUUCAUUUACAUCAACUUUUCUACUGGCACUGGUGCAGAGCCCAUAUGGACCACUCAAUAUGAAGCAUGAGCUAGUUUACUUUCUAAAGAUUUCUUAGAAGAAAACCACCAAGGUAGAGAUCUGGUUAAAUAAGUCUGGUUAAAUGCCAAUUUCAGGGCUGUGUCAAUUCAAAGUCCUCCCAGCCCCCAGUGUCAUACGUGACCUCCUCCUACAUGCUCCUGUGUGCCUUUGUUUCAAUGGGUGCCGUCUAGGAUCUAUCCUGUAAAACCACUCAGCUCAAAGCACAGCACCCUUACAGUUUUCUCCAAGAAAUCUAACACACUCAAUAGUUUGCGAGUUUGGUAACACCCAGGAAAACUGAGUGAUUUGGAGAUCAGAUCACACCUUAUCACGCAGAGUCUUGCAUUUACACGCUAUUACAGCCACUCACCUCCCCCUGCCUUUCAAAACCUCUCAGUAAAGCAUGAUCUUCUCUACCAAGCACUCGUACUUCAGCACCAAUCUCUGAUCCUGUUUUUGUCCUGGAACAGCCCCACCAGGGCAGCCUGUCUGGCCCAGACUUAUUCCUACCAUUUAUUUAAACUAAGAUUUCAUUUUCUGUGAAAUCAUAUUUUAACACUAUCACUCUAGUAUACUAUCAUAUCCAACCUUGGGACGUUGUAUCUAAUAUGCUCUUAGACUUUUCAAUUGCAAAAAGCACUUUCAUAUCCAUUAUCUUAUUAUACCAUCCCUAGUUUUUCCUUCAAUCUCUGGGGAGGCAAAAGCCAUGACUCACAGAACACUGAGUCUGUAGCCCUUAGCACGGUGCCUGACACACACUGGGUUCUCAUCAGAAACUGUGGAUGAAUGAUCAGUGAAUAAAUGAACAUGGCUAUUAAAUAACGUGUCAAGGAUCAUAUAUCCUAGAGGAAAUAGAACCAGAUUUCAGCACAUACCCCAAGUUCUGGUCUUGCUUCAAUCCCACUUCACAUGUGCCACAGAUCUACAGCCUCUUUAAUAUGGAGAGAUGUAAACUGCCAGAAUGAACACAGGCAAGUGAUUUUUAAAGUGUCAGGCAGGCAUUGGGCUCAAAAUUUUUUUAAGUUUCUUCUAAUCCAGAAUUUUAAUGAAAUACUAACAGUCCUCUAAGAGUUGCUACUGGUGCUUGUGAAAUGGAAUUUUUCCAUUAGCAGAUUUUGUUACACACAUAAAACCAUGAAUACAGACCAUAUGAAUUCAGAAGACCGGGACGUUCUAAAGGGAUAAUCUAGUUGUCUGAGACAUCAAAGACAUAAAUUCUGCCAGAAAAUUCUGUAUUCUUCACUCUACAAUGGAAGAUGACACGUUGCUUCUGCCUGGUAAACAAGUCACCCUCUGUGCCAUUUACACGAUUGCAAACACAAGAGAAAUCACCCCUUCCCAGUCACACCCAAGAACUCCACUGUGAAAGCCUAGAGUUGGUUUCCACAGAUGCACAGCUGGAUCAUCCCCUACUUGCUGUUGUCAGAGAAUGAAAAGCUUCCCUUUUCUCCCCAUGAAGCCAGCAUUAGGAAUCAGAUGACCUAUGUGGAAGCUAUUGAAGGGCUUAUUGAUUGUGUGACCUGGGGCAAGGCAUACAAAUUUCAGGUUUGUAAUCUCUAAGGCAGGAUGGAUAAGCAUAAGUCAGUGGUGAGGCGAAAGUGAGAGAAGACAACGGCAUUCAAAUUGUGUUUUCUGGAACCCCUGGGGUAGAGAGGGGUCAAGCAGCAGAGGCCACAACAUUCUCCCCUGCCUCGGCCAGAGAAAGCCAGUUUUUAGACUUGCAGAACCCAGAUCCAGGCCUCAGAAUUCCCAGCUCAAUUAUCCAUCCACUGAACCAAACAAACAUUUCCUCAGAAUUGCCCUGUGCUCUAGAGUUCACAGAGCACAUUGUGUACAUUAUCUUACAUCUGACCCUGUCUAUGGUACAGGAAAAUUAUCCUUCCCACUCACCUGCUGAAGAGUGAGCCUCUAAAAGAUUAAGUGAUGAGCGGCGGUUCCCAAGAUGAAUUCACAUUCGUUCCAAUGGUCACUAUCCAAAUGAUCUUGAAAAGCCACUUGAUCUCCUGAAUCUCAAUUAAAUCAUUAAAAAAAAAAACAGAAACUAGCCGGGCAUAGUGGUUAAUACCUAUAAUUCCAGCCCCCACCUGAGAGUCCUGCACUUCCUGCCAAUCUGGGGAGCCUUCAUGGUCCUGUUUUCUCCAAUAAACAAGAUAACCAUCUUUAAUUUGAAAACUGGUUGCCUUUUCAGAUGACCUAUGUUCUCCCAAUAAACAAGCCACAUACUCAUUUUUCUUCAGAGAAUGAAACUUCUGGCUUAUCUUAAGAAGAAGGGGAAAGUAUUGAUUCAAAAUCUGAUAGGAUUUACAACAUACCCUAUAUUUCUGCUUCAAAGACCACAAAGAACACAUUGUCCUCUUCCCACAGGGACAGCAAUCCCAGCCCCAGUUAGUACUUGGAGCGGGACAUUUGUUCCUACUUGAAAUCAAUCAGUAUAUUAGCAACAGGUGUCACCUGGUUUUCCUGCUAAUGAUACUAAAAUCCAUUGCAUUGGACAGGAAUGGUUGACUUUCUAAAAUGUUUGGUCAUUGGUAACAUAUUCUAUCUCCCCUUGAUUCCAAAUGCCUGACCCUGGGCUACAGUAAGACAUUUUCUACACUCAUUGAAGUCAUUAAUUUAUUGAGUCAUCAAUGAACACUAAGCACCUACCCUAUGUUGGACUUGGCGCUAAGCAUCGUAGACAACAAACACAUAAGAAGCAGUACUGCCAUCAGGAUAUUUACAAUGUUGCCAGGAAGAAUUGACUCAAAAAGACACAGCAGAAAGAGGUAAGCACACAAGGGUUCUAGGAUGUGGUGAGCAAAACCUGCUUUCCACUUACGUGUGCAGCACUACUGUCUGAGUAGGAAUCCAAUUCUGCAAGUUAGUAAGUGGAUGAGGUCUCAUUAGGAAAGAGAGCAGAGCUGCUUAUGACAGAAGGAAAAGCAAAGAAAAGGAGACAAUGCAAGAAGCUUGGGAGAAGCAAAAUGUAAUGCUAAAAAUAUCAGUGCACAGAGUCAGGGCGACUGGGUUCACAUUAGUUCCAAUGGUCACCAUCCUAAUGAUUCCAAAAAACCACUUGAUCUUCUAUAUCUCAGUUAAAUCAUGUUUUAAAAAAACAGAAACUAGUCGGACAUAGUGGUUGAUGCCUGUAAUUCCAGCAACUUGUGAGGCUGAGGCAGGAAGAUUACAAGCUUCAGCAACUUAGCAAGGUCCUAAGCAAUUUAGUGAGACCCUGUUUCAAAAACAAGAAAUAAAAAGGGUUGGUGAUGUGGCUCAGUGGUAAAGCACCCCUGGGUUAAAUCCCCCAGUACCAAACUCAGAAAAAGAAAAAGAAAAGAAAGCCAGAAACCAAAAAAGGUGUCUUGUUCCAAAAAUAUGGACCUUCAAAUAUUGUUUUACAUGAAAUUCUGGGUUAACUUUAAAGAUCUCUGAUAAGUCUUGCUAAACUUAGUUACAGUAACAGGCAGGAAAUUGGUUUCAAAGCAUUGGGAUGGUAUGAGUGAAGCAAUAAACAGCUAUAUUCUUAAAGGCCAUUUAGCAACUUGAAUUCUAUGUUAAAGUCACUUGUUAUAAAACAUAACAUAAAAGUUAACACUAGUGCCACAAAAAUAAUGAAUUAUAGAAACGAGGGUUCAAAUCUUUCUCACUGAAGACAUUAACCAAAUAUUAUUCCUAAUUAUCUCUUAAGGAGAAUGAAAUUCCCUUAUCUCUUUUAAGACACGUGAUUCAUGUUCCUAGCAGCUUUUCCUCAACAAUAAAAAUUUAAUGAUAGCAUUUAGAAACAAAGAAAAUUUCAUUAUGGAAAUUCACUGAUUGUGAAAUGCAUAUUCAGUCAAAAAAAGGAACGAUAAUUUGAAGACCAAUAUAAGAAAAGUCUAUUGCACUUCAAGCUGAGCCUGGUGACAUACACUUGUAAUGCCAGUGGUUUGGGAGACUGAGGCAGGGGGAGCACACGUUUAAAGCCAGCCUCACCAUUCAGUAAGGCCCUAAGCAACUUAGUAAGACCUUGUCUCAAAAUAAAAAAAUAAAAAGGACUGGGAUGUUACUCAGUGGUUAAAUACUCCUGGAUUCAAUCCCCAGUACAAAGAAAAAAAAAUCCCUAAUGCACUUCAAGACAUGUUAUAAAACUACCAGCACGAACACCUGUGGCCUUGAUGUAAGGGUGAAUAGCUUGCCGGUAGACUUGGAGCACAAAGGUGGAAGUUACAGUCUCCAAUCCCUUUCUGUCUUCAGAGCUCUCACCCUCCACCAGGUUUAUGGCCAUAGAUCACAGGAGUGAGAAUAGUUCUGAAGCUCAAAACCCAGAAGGAGAACAGAGAACCAGAACGUUCUGGGGAGCUUACCUGAGCUGUGACGAGCAACAUCCUUGGAACAUCACAGGUGAAGCCACCUCUUACUCUCACAGGCACCCUUCAAAUUAGAGGAAAAUCACUCUAAUACAAUGCAAGAAGCUGGGGAGAAGCACUCUAAGGCUCAGCCACUCUAAGGCCACCUGCUGAGACAGGGUGAUUCCAAUGUGGUCGCAGACUCAGCUGCUUUCAGCACCCAUAUUUUGAUCCUUAAAUAGGUAGUCAUUUUUUUCUCCCUCCUUUUCCUGCUUCCUCUUCACAGUAUACUGAAACAGCCAGAAUGAGUGGUAUUUUCCCCUGGUAAAUAACCUCUCUAUAGCCUCAAGUUUAUCCCCAGUCCUUAGGUUUUCCUACAGCCAGCAUCAGCUUGCAUAGGAAGGACACUUCACUUUUAGACAAACUGCUAUUCCCCAAAUUUUCAGCCAAAACAAAAGGUAUAAUGAGACAAACUGACCUUCUGGAAGUAUCUUGGGAACCAAUUAAGAGUGAGACUUUUAAAAGGAAAACAAAUGAUCUACUAGGAAUGUGAAAGGAAAAGUAUAAUUGCUAAUCCUCAAAGGGACAAGAGAUAAAAGGGAAAAUUCUUACCAGACUGAUUUUAUUCCAUUGCAGUGUUUGGUUUCUUCUCUCUAAGGCAAAAUAAACUGAGAAAGAGAAGAGAGGGAGGGCAUGAAGCAGGGAAAAAAAGUAAAUCAAGGCUGUGCCAACAUCUGUAAAAUCCUGCUAUCACAAUGCACUAGGUCCAUGUGAUAAAUGUAAUGAGCAAUGAACAGUGGCACCCUGAGAGACUCCUAUCAAGAGCAAAUGGAUGCUUAUUAUGUCCUGAUUAGUCCACUUCAUACACUUCAGCUCCUUGCUGGUCACAAAUAGGCACUAAGACUCACCAAUACUAGUCAUGUGAGCCCCAGGCCCUUGGACUCCAUGUAUUUCUUGUCUGAAUCCUUAAUAGUCCUCCUGUGUACGAUGUGUAUACUAGACUCAGAUAACCUCUAUUUUUAUUUUUGUUUCUUUUUGAUAUAGGUAUCAUUUUCAAAUGGAUCAAAGUUUAUCACCUGCUGAGAGCCAUAGCCAAGUAGGAAUGACACAUGGCAAUUUCCUUGUCAGCCUACCCAAUGUUGCUUAGAGGGAGGACUCUCCAUUGUGGAAAUGGGCUUGCCUUGGACCCAGGUCAUUUGCAGUGACAUUGCAUGAAUGUUUGAGAAAGGUGACCCUGCUCAAGGACCAGGGCGGAUCCGGGUUUAGGGUGGAUCUGGGUUUAAGGUGGAUCCUGCUGGGAAUAGGGCGUAUCCUGCUGCCUCAGGAGCCCGCUCCUUGAGUUCCCGUUGAGUUCUCGCAGGAUUCAGAGAGUAUUUGGGAUGCAGAGCCCGGUGGAGGUGUGGAUUUUUUCCCAGAACAUGCGUGUAGACGGCUGGUGAGAAUUCAGGAAUAAAGAGUUGCUGUUGGAAUCUACAGGGUUUUGUGGUGGCUCAGUUAUUUGGUGCCCAGCCAGACUGCAGCAAUCACCUUCUUAGUUGUCACUUAAUCCUCCACGGAAGUGACCAAAAAUGUAUUCCCCCAUGUGUUCUUCAGUAGGAGGAUAUUUUAUAAAUAUGUGUCUGUGCUUCCAUGUUUUACACAAACCAUGGAAUAUUAACUGUUUGUUACUCUUCAUGCAUAAAAUGGGAGAUAAGGAAUAUGACUGGUGCCAUGGGGUUGUCACAUGUAUCACGUAGGUUAAUAUAUAUAUAAAGCAUUUGGGAUAGUGUUUGACACAAAGCAAGCCCAAUGUAAAUCAGCUAUAUAAUAAUCAAGAUAGCUAUAUAAAUAUGCACAAGAUACAUAAUUUUUAUAUCUAGCUCUUGGCUUCCUGGUUGCCAUGUUCUAAAAUGCUCUCCUCCUCUAUGCCCUUCCUCUAUGAGGUUCUGCCCCAUCUCAGGCCGAGAGCUAUGGAGUCCGCCAGCCAUGGGCUGAACCUCUGAAACCGCAAUGUUAUGAGGAUUGUACAGGUAACACAAAAGACAGUGAGCUGCAGAGAGAAGAGAAAAUAGGUGGCCACAGAAUCCAAUUAGGGUUUUCUAUUAGAAAAAGGCCAUGCAUCCUACCAUCAUGCCUUCUGGACAGGCACCAGGCUUUAUUUUUCUUGAGCUUCUUUGACUACUAAGUAUUCAUCACUUAUAAAGCAAUGAUUAAACCCCCAAUCUGCAUUUUCAGUUUUCAGGAGCUAAAACCCAAGAAAUCAAAUAGAAGAAGAAAUCUGAAUGCCUCCUCUCCAAAAAUCUCAGGGGAUAAAGCUAAAGCAAAUUAUUCCCUCUGAAUUCUCCUUAGCCCUCAGAUUUGCAAAGGUUAGGCUCCUUAUUUAUAUAAAAUGUUAGCACCACCCUCAUCUCAAAAUCAGAACAAAACAAAACAAAAUGACCUGGUAAGCAAAUUAAAUCUUUUUCAGUAACAAAAACAAACCUCAAGUCAAUCCAUCUUGCCCAUUUAUAAGAUUUCACAAUGUUCACUAAGAAUUUUAUGUUUGAGUAUUUUUAGUACAACUAUUAGACCCAUGUUGUGAAACGCUAAAUUCAGAAAAGAAAACAGAAGGUUUUGUUGAUAUGUCCCACACUUGAAACAAAGAACACAGAGUUCAAAACAAAAACAACCGUGUGGUACCUGAAAGAAGCAUGAUGGUGUUAAAAUAAAGUAUUCAUAUUCAAUUUCCACAUUGAGACGAAGAGAAUUCUAACUGGCUGGAAUGCUGGAGAAGAGGGUGGAAGAGAGAGCAGAGACUUGAGUUCCACAUCUGGAUGUUGGAUAUAACAUUUGUAAGUCCCUUGCAAAGCCUUCCCCAACAUCAUUCAAGCACCAAGCAUCUGCAUCAUGCUUCUCAUUCACUCCCAUAGGAGCACGUUCAUGUUCUCUUCUUUAUGUCUGUCUGUAUGUUUUAGAAUUUCUACAAUGAGUACAUUUUAUGCAUAUUAUAUAAGCAUAUAUACACAUAUUUGCAAAGGUUUUUAAAAUUUUUGUCACUUUAGGUUUUAGUAGGAGUAUAAAGUGGGUAUGCAUCUGUUAUUAAAAAAAUUAGCUAUUUUCAUCCCUAUCAUCAUCUCCAUGAAAAUAAGUAUUAUUUUAUAAUAUAUUUAAUGGCUCUAAUAUAUUUCCUUUUAUUCUCACCCAUCAGGUAUUUAGAGAUGUCCCUAUUAUAAGAUAUUUAAGGUCCCAUUACAAUUUACCUGUAUUGCAGUGGACAUCCUCAAGAACUUGUUUGGUUUUUUGUUUGUUUUUUACACUUAAACUAUGUGCUUAGAAGGAGUUCUUAGCAGUUAAGCUAAUGGCAAAGUUUUAAUGGUCUGUAAUAGAAGUUCAUGGGCAAAAUAACUGUAUAAAUAUGCACAAGAUUUUUCCCUCCAAUUUCAACCCACUAGAAUCAUUUUUGUCAUAGGGGAAAUGUUGUAGUUUCCAGGAAAGAAGAAGAAACAUUUUUAUGUAGUGGUGACCAAUGCUGGGGAAUAUGCUGGUGCUGGGUAAUGGACCUGAAAACAUGUAGUAGGGUGGAGGAUUAACUUUCACAAAAAAGUAAGAGUUAGAGCCAAGAAUCUCAGAUGUCACAGAAGUGGGCACCAAUUGAACUGGAAAAUAUCUAUUUCCCUGGAUCACAGAAAAAAAAAAUGAGACAUGUAUUUUAGGCAUGAAUGGUAAAGAAUCAUUCACCAUGAAUCAGAACCCCAACUCUGAUCUCAGUUUUAUAAGAACCACUCUUGUUGGCAUUCUUUUUCCUAAAAAAUAGCCAGCCUCACCUAUCUUCUCCAUGAUUGCCAAUUCCUGAGCACAGAUAGCAGACAACCAGGAACCUAUGUGUCUCACACACAUUAUCUUGUCUAGCCUAAAAGCAAUCCGAUAAGGUCCACAUCAAAACUAUUUACAGUGUGAUAACUGACCUUCAGAAAGGUUAAACAAUUUGUCCAGGUGAACAGCCAGCAAGAAACAAGGCAGAAAAAGAAACAAUGGUUUGCCCAAUGACAAAUUCAUUUCCUUCCUUCCUUCCUUCCUUCCUUCCUUCCUUCCUUCCUUCCUUCCUUUCUUCUUUUUGGUGUGGGUAUUAGGGACUGAACCCAGGGCCUCAUGAACACUAAGCAAGCAAUCUACCACUGACCUACAUCCCCAGUCCUAUUUUAAUUUUGAGACAUGGCCUCUUAGUUACACAGGCUGCCCUUGAGUUUGUGAUCUUCUUGCCUCAGCUUCACAGAUAACUGGGAUUACAGGCAUGCACCACUGCGCCCUGCUUAAAGUUCAGUGUCUUAAUAAUUUAUUCUAAAAUUUACUUUUAAAAGCUUUAUGAGUCAUCAAACAUAAAAUCAGGGCUUUAAAGCGAUUAAUUCCUAUAACCUCUAGUUUUUCUUAAACACCCCUUUUCAUUUUGAGCUGAAUAGAUUUAAAGUGAUUAACAUUAGAGGAACUCUGAAUCCAUUUCAUCCAGGCACACAAAUGUCUCUGUGCUAUACAUUGCUCUCUAAAUAGAAAUUGCUUUAGAUUUAAAAAAAAUAAUAAUAAUAGCUGAAAUAAUUAUACAGCUUCUAGGUGAGUCAUUCUAAAACUUUUAGUCUUUGGGAAGAUUCCAUAUUUCUGGUUAUCUGCUGUGAAACCAUUUCCAGCUACCCACUUACAUCUCUUGGCAAAAUUAUAGCUCAUUAUUAAACAUAUUUUAUGCAAUAUUGUUGAUUUAUUUAUGCCUCAAGCCUACGGUUAAAAUCCACACUGAUAGUAAAGAUGCAUAUUAAAAGUUUAUAUUGGGGCCUUUGGUAGCCUCAUCAGGCUCUAAAAGCUACCAUAUUAAACUAGAUAAUAACCCAGGAACAGACUGAAUUUAAACCAAAAGAUAUUUGGAGUCACAUCAAUGCAAUGCCACAAAUAUUUACUGCCUUCUUUUUUCCCACACCUCAGGUACUCAUGCUGCCUCCAGGAACACCAAGAUGAGGUACCAACAACUCUGCCUCGACCAUCUCUCCAUCUGUUUGAGAAAUAUAUUAGCAGAUAAAUUAAAGCACAUUGUGAUUUCGUAUGUAUCUGCAGUUGCAUGUUGAAGUGAUAGAGGGAGCUGACGUUCGGACGCCAUCCAGAAGGUGAGGGAAGAACACCAAGAAGCCUGCUCAGAAGUGCCGGUGCCUGAGCUGGACUUUGAAAGAUGAAUAUGAAAGUCACCAUGGGAACCUCUGGGACCUCUUCCCCUCAGUGCUGUCCUCUCUACCUCCCUCCCAGCAUUGGUCAACCAGAGUGACCACUGACACACGAGUGCCCUGCUCUCUCAGGUGUGGAGGUCCUGCCUCCCUCCAUCCCACAGCAUGGUCAGAUGCUGCUGUUUUCUGGAAACGCCCCUUUUACAGCUGCACAUGAAAUGUCACUCCAUUUUGAAAGAACACUGUUUCACUGUCUUGCCUUUUCUUGACCUCUUCUUUCUCUUGGGGUUAUUGGAAUCACUGCCCCCUCCCUCUUGGUACUGAUGUGCCCUGCACAAACACAGGGGGUGCUUUAUUUUUAGCAGCAUCGCCUCUACUCAUACUGACAACAAUGCUGAGCUGAGCAGCUGCCAUGGAGUAGGGUUCCAUAAGCAGUAACUAUUGGGGGAGGAACUUUUGCCUGUGAGAGGAGUCACUGGAUCCCUUGACAAGAAAACAGCUGAAGAGGGACUUCACUUGCUGGAGGGGGCAUAUACCUGACAAGGGAGUGGAAAUGGAAUUCUAAAUACAAGCUGUUAGCAUUUGAAUGGGUCCCCCCAAAGUUCAUAUGUUGGAAAUUUAAGUCCAAAUGUGGCAGUUUGGGGAGGUAGAGCCUAAUGGGAGAUGUUUGGGUCUUGAGGAUUCUACACUCAUGAAUAGAUUAAUGGGAAUGAUUUCAGCUUUCCAACCCUCUCUUGUUCCCUCCCUGUUGUCCUCCUACCACAUUAUGAAGUAGCAAGAAGGCCCUCACCAGAAGUUAUGAGGAUGUCAGACUCUUGUUCUCAGACUUCUUAUCUUCUAGAACCAUGAGAUCAGUAAACUUCUUUUCUUUAUAACAUACCCAGUUUUUGGUAUUCUGUUACAAUAGUAGGAAGCAGAAUGACACAAACCCAAUGCUGACCUGUAUGAAGAUGUCACCAUUUAAUUGAAUUCUUUCAGGAGAAAUUAAUAAGCCAAAAGUCUUAGUUUUCUCAGAGAUGGACAAACUGGAAU
rnacentral:lncRNA from 1 species